CCUGUUCGCUUCAGCUUAUUCAGCCGGCUUAUCAGCCACCAAACAGUGUUUUCCUCUCACAACAAAUCAGCCGUUUCAGCUUUUCAGCCGGCUUAUAAGCUGAAGCGAACAGGUCGCAGAUCUAUUAUGAGCCAUGCUUCUGAUGGAUGCCUUGAACCGUUUUUCUAUUUCUUUUUUUUUUUAACGUUACUUGGCUAUGAAUGCUUUGAACCGUUCUGUUGCUGCUGAUGCACAUCCAUCGGUCGUGGUGGUGGAGCAAGCAAGAAGGCUCGAUUAUUUUUGUACUGGGUGCGUGGUAUGGUGCGAUGAUACCAGCAUGUACAUCUUGGUGGCAUCUUGUAGUGGCGUGGGGUUUUUAUGGUAUCUUCAGCAGCAACAGACUUAUUUUCUAGGUGGUAUGUAUCGUAUCCAUCAUAGUGUUAGUACUUUACAAAUGAAGGAAGCGGGCCUUGCUUUGCAAACGAUUAUACAUAGUAUCCAUAUUUUAUUCCUAAACAUAUAUAAUCAUAAAAAGUGAAGAAUUUUUAAAAUUAAAAAGAAAGAUCACUAGAGUAUGCAUGCAUAUAGCAAUUUUGAACGCAUAGGAGCACGUACUCUCCAAUGCGUAGUGCAUGAGCUAUGUACGCUUUGUACAUUGUGCUAAAUGAUACAAUUCUAAACACGUAGGAGUACAUUCUCCAAAACAUAGAGUACAAACUGCAUACGUUAUGCGAGUUGAUGGACUUUCUAAUUCUAGUCUUUCUUCACAUGGGUCACUGCAUAUCUCAAUAGACGAAAUGCAAGCACCUAGACUUCGGUGACGAGAAAGCCAUUGAUCAGGUUGCUUAUAUAUAUAUAUAUAUAUAUAUUUAAUAAUGGAUCACACUAGGAUACUUUAGAACUAAAAUAUGAAAAAUAAUUGUUGCUCUCAUAAGACCAUAUUUCAAAUACAUACACUACCAUUUUUGUGUUGGGAUAUUAAUAUGUUUUUUAUGUAUAAAAUAUUUUAUCUAGAAAUAUCCUUACCAACCUUUAUGUGAAUUUUAUAUCGCUUUAAUUUUAAUAACACUCUAGAUUUUUUUUAAAAAAGGUAAAGGUGUUUAGAGGUGACACUCAGCACGCUAUAAGUCAUCGUUGAGGCAAGAUAACCUCUGAAAGUAAAAAAUACCAAUUCCUUAAGUAGUAGUAGAAGCAAGUGCAUCUUUUUUGCUGCCGCGUCCCAAACAUUGUGCGCCAUUCUUAGCUUGUGUGUAGAGAAACUUAAUUAAUUUGGAAAUAGGAUGCAGGAAACAUACACGUACAGAGGUAACAAGCCAAUCUACCAGCCUCUGAUGAAGUACGUACGCUUUCUCGCUCGUUACGGGGGAGACUGACGCGGAAACGCGGGAAACGCGACUCCGAAUUCAAAAGGAUCACAAAUUUCGAGUUACUAUUCAUUGCACUAUUUAAAUUGAACGGUACUAUUCAAAUUCAGCACACUAUUCAAAUUAGAAAUAUGAACAGCGCUCACGCACUCAUCGCGAGUGGGUGGAGCACCUCAGGAUGAGCAAAACAUGGCGGCACUAUUCGCUCACUAUUAAGCACUAUUGAGCAACUAUUCGGGAUCGCUUUCAGCAACUAUUCAACAGAUAUGGUACGUGCGGGUGCGUGAUUAGGUCUAUAUCUUGAUUAUAUUGAUUCUCAUGAUCUUUACGGGUUGAGAGACCAAGGAUUCAGCCGGUCGUGCUGCUAUGCUUUGUGUCGCUCCUACUCGGUACUCACCGCAUGCGUCGUUGGCUCGCUUCAGAACCAAGCCAGCCCGGUCUUCACCCUCACCGUCCCCAGCCACGAGCACACAGGACUCAGGCUCUACCGUCUCCCCAGGCAGUUCCAUCCGAAGGGAACACUUCUCUGCGCACAUAGGAUUCUCCUGCUACCAGGGCUAACACGAGAACGACACACGCAAAGGUUUCUCCUCUAGGGUCCCUAGCGUAGAGACAUCACCCCAUACGGACGAGCUUAAGGGAAGGCAGGGAUACUACCAAGACAGCUUAAUCCAUUUCCACGGGACAAGCUUACACGCGGCUUUCCCUUUCGGGAAACCCCAAGCACUUAGCACAAACCUUGAUUACCUUACAAACAGUGGGAUGAGCUCCAACGGCCUCCUAGUACAGAGGUGGUGGAGUGAUACAAUGGUAGUGGGGUGUUGCUACUAAUAGUGGGAAUCCCUUAGAGCACUUCCGAGGUGGUGCAUGUCUUCAUGGAGUAUUUGGUGAGUGGAGUGUGGGUGGAGGUCUUCUGCUUCUUCGGUGAUCUUGCUUCGGUGAUGUGUUUAUUGAUUGAUUCCAGAAUGCUUCACCCGACCUCUCAUUUUAUAGCCGCAGCAGAGGUUUCAGGAGACUCCUCAAUAAUUCACCUCUCCUGUUGCCUGGACAGCUGGACGGCGCUCCGCUCCUUCAUAAUUAUCCUGGCUACAGUAGAAUCACUGUUUAUUCCUUUUGUCCUAUCCUCUAUCACGUAUUGUCUUCUCGUGACAUUCUGGAUGCUGCUUGGUAUGGUCUUCCACGCCCAAAUGAUUGAUGUCGCAGACUUCAAUCACAAAAUCAUGGCAUGUAGUAUUAUUCUUCCCCUGGUUGAACUGUUGUUAACACUUUAACAACAGAGGGAAUAUAUUCUCCCGUGAGACAGAAUAUUCUUUCAUGCAAGAUAUUUAUUCUCUUUCUUCAAAUUCUCUGGUUACUAUUCAAAUUGAACGACACUAUUCAAAUUCAGCACACUAUUCAAAUUAGGAAUAUGAACAGCGCUCGAGCACUCACCGUGAGUGGGUGGAGCACCUCAGGAUGAGCAAAAUAUGGCGGCACUAUUCGCUCACUAUUGAGCAACUAUUCAGGGUCGCUUUCAGCAACUAUUCAACACAUAUGGUAUGCGCUUGUGCGUGAUUAGAUCUAUAUCUUGAUAUUAUAUAUAUAUAUAUAUAUAUAUAUAUAUAUAUAUAUAUAUAUAUAUAUAUAUAUAUAUAUAUAUAUACACACACAUACAUAUACAUAUACUCUGUGAAUGUGUGAGAGAGAGAGAGAGAGAGAGCGUGCGCGCGCGCGCGCGCGCGCGCGCGCGNNNNNNNNNNNNNNNNNNNNNNNNNNNNNNNNNNNNNNNNNNNNNNNNNNNNNNNNNNNNNNNNNNNNNNNNNNNNNNNNNNNNNNNNNNNNNNNNNNNNCAAUUGAAACCUGAGGACGCCUAUGGCCGAUCCCUUUCGAAGACGGAGUGGAAGCAGAGCGCGAAGAUGAGCAAGAUGGCGUCCUCGAAGGACGACGUCCGGGACGAACACCGGGUGGUGCUGCGCUGCGCCGCCGCCGCGUCGUCCCUUGCGAUGCUGGGCGGCCUGGGCAUCUUCUUCCUCGCUGAUGACCCUGUCGCGGUCGCGGCCUCUGUUGGUGACGGCGGCGAUGACGCAGUCGGCGAGCAUGGUGAGCAGGAAGCCGACGCAGGCGAGCAUGUAUGCGAAGGGGUAGUGGUUCUUGGUGAGGCCGUGGAAGGUGCUGGCGGAGUCUGCGAGGAAGUGCAUGAGCGCCGUGCCCAGGAACACGCCGGCGGCGAACUGCGUGCCCAGGAGGAGGAAGGCCUCGUUCCAGCGGUAGAAGUAGGGUGACACGCCGCCGAGGAAGGUGAAGACAAACAGGAUGACCAGGCACCACACCUUGACGGCGAUGAGGCCCUUGGAGCGCAGGCCGACCGAGGAGUCGGCCGGCGGCGGCGUGGCGUCCUCGUCGUCUCCGUCGUCGAUCCCGCCGUGGGCGCUCGCCUGCUGGAAGCACAGAAGCAGGGAGAGGAGGAGCAGGGCGGUGCAAAGGAGUGCCGACGACGACGACGCCCUCCUCAUCCUCAUCCUCUUCCUGGUAUGGUAUGGUAUGUUGCUUGCUAUGGUAAUCAAGCAGUUUGGAGGCUUGCAUCUAUAUAUGUUCACCUCCUCAUCCUGCUCGAUCGAUCAAUUGGGGAUUAAUUAAUUAAUUAAGAUGCUUGAUGAUUAAUGAUAUAAAACUAUAUGAUCAUUGCUCAACAAGUCUGCAUCUAUACAUGCAGUACAAGUGGUAGCUGACUUUGGUGAUGGUUGUACCGCACGCUCUAGAGAUGUUUGUACAGUACGUCCGCCUAGCUAGUAUGAAAUGGAUACGAGUACUUGGUUCAUCAUGGGAUUAUUUUAUAUGGAUAGUUUAUUGACCAGUAGUGGACGUUACCAGCUGAACCUUCCUCCAGCAGAUGAGCCACCAUCAACCUAUAUAUAAGUCUUCCUUUUUUUUUGUUGAUGAUGAAGAAUUCAGAGCAACAUCACAGCAUGUAUCCGCUGAUUUUUAAGCCUUAUUGCUUCAAAAUCGUUACAUCGAGUUGAUACAAGGAUCAUGAAACACUCCCACAUAUGGAGAUGUUUAGGUUGUAUCCGCAUGCCACCAUGUCGUUUUGUUAGGAUAUAUAAUGCUUUUACCAACAUUUACGGUAGCUAUUAAUAUUUCGCUUAUGCCAUACAAAUGUAGUAUAUUAAUAAGAGCUUUUUUUAAUACGAAUCAAAUGAUAUCAACUUUGUGUUAGUAUAUGUAUAAUCAUUGGUCAAACAUAAUGCUUAUUUUCUAAACGAACUAAGGAGGAGAGCUGUCGAUUAUAUUGAAAAGAGCACUGAAAUAUCAUGCUCAUCCUAAACAAACCAAAUAAGCCCCUGUAUGUAAUAUAAUAUCAAAUGGAGAGAACGAAUACAAAAGCUGACAUGUCAACUAUAUAUACGUGCUCCUGAAAAUAAAAUGUCAGCGGCAGAAACAGGUCGUCGUGUCCUGAUAUUAUACUACCUAAAUCUAAUAUUAGUACGUGCUGCUGAAUCACCGUGGAUAAUGAUAAUUAUUAGAGAUGAAGCACUCUCGAGCCAAGACAUGGCUCUUGCUGAAAACCCAUGAAUGGAGAGGGUGAGUUUCCAUCUCCGUAUGUUGGCGCUGCUGUUUCAUUUUUCAAGAUGAAAUUUUGCAUUCGAUCAGGCAAUGCAACUUCCGGCCGGCGUUCCUUCAUCUGCUGCGGCUUGCAUUGCCAGCUACUACAUGCAUGCUUCCACGCAUCUGGCUGGCAUGCGGAUCAGUUCAGUCAGCGACGACGACAUCUGGUCUUGAGGACCAUAACUUGGCUUGGCUCUCAUUGGUCCAACCAGUAAACACAUCUCUGAUCCAUGGAUGGAUGGAUGGAUGCAUAUCGUCAUUCAUGGUAGCUAUGCUAUAUUGCUAUGCAUGAUUGAAGAUUCUGCUAUUGACUGGUCAAAUGCAAUGGGGGCCAACGCCAGAAAAAAGGAGGAAAAAAAUUAACAAGGACCAGCUGAGCUAUAUACUGGACUGGAGUAGUAGUACCUUAUUAAUAAUUGCCUCGUACUAGCAAUGAACAUCAGUCGAGUUCAAUAUUUCAUCAUCACAACUUACAUACACACAUACAUAUACAUAUAUCAGGGAAACGAUCAAAAAGCUCCAUUUUCUUCAUCAAAAAGCUAGCCCAAGGGAUGAAUGAAGGGAAAAGGUUCUGCUUACCGUGCAUGCUCUUGGGUCGAUCCAUGGAUUCCUCCUCCUCCUCCUCUUCUCUACCUAGCAGUAGUAUGUACAACAGCAGCAGCAGCAGCAGCAGAAGAAGAAGAAGAAAGAAAGAAAGAAAAAGAGAUGGAUGUGGAUAGAGGAAUUACUGAAGUAACUAACUGGAUCAUCAUCAUCAUCAUCAAGUGAUAACAAUAAAGGAGAUGGAUGGAUACUACUAGAGAGCUAGCUAGUAGUCGCGCCAGCAGACGAGCAUGGAGACGCAUCGGCGGACGAUGUAGAAGCGCGCCCGGUGCUCCUUGACGGCCUCCGCCACGCACUUCUUCUUCGACCCUUGCUGUGGCUGCCGUUGCUGUUGCUGCUGACAAGACGAGGAGGAGGAGGAGGAGGAGCUGCCUGUUCUGGUGGUGGCGACGCUGGCCGAGUAGCUCCGGCUGAGCACGCUGCUGCUACCGCCGGCAGAGGAGGAGGAGGCGUCCGUCAUGGCGUGCGGCCUGCCGGAUCUGCUCCGGCCCUUGCUGGACAACUUCCACUUGUCGUCCCCUCCCGGCGGAUCCAUGGUUUGCUACCCCUUGGCUUGUGGCUUUGUGAUCUGCUCUCUGCUGCUAUUGGCCGCCGGUUAGGUUAGAUUUAUAAUGGGAUCGAUCGACGACUGGAGAAUGAAUGAGUAGAGACACAACAAGAGGAUGGUUAAUUUGGUGGUGAUAGCAGAACACGAGAACAGAGGCCGAGGCUGCAGCAGAGCAGAGCAGAGCAGAUGCAGAUGCAGAUGCAGAGCAGAGUGUGUGGGAGUGAGCAGAGCAGACUCAGCAGAGCAGAGGUGGUAUGGUAUGAUAAUCAGGGUAGCCUGCGUGCACUGUAAUGGGUGGCCCUCUGUAACUCUCUUCUCUCCUGUUGUGCCCGUGUUGCAUCAUGCUAGGCUGCCGUUGGAAUGGACUGCAAUUGGAUGUAGCACGGCAAUCCCUAGCUAGGGAAGGACGCACCAUCAUCAGCAGCAGCAGCCGCCUUUGUUGUUUUGUUUUCAAAUCAGAAAUGCUUUCUUUCCUUUCCUUUUGACAGACUCACAGACUUGAGAGUGUAUUCUUGGCUUCUCCACUCUAACGUUGGGGUGACGAAUCAUCACAUGAUUGCAAAUUUGCAGUGCAUUCACAACAGCAGCCGCCUCCAUUCUUGUUCUUCUUGCUACCAGUAGGAUAGCCGUUGUUGCCACUGCAGACUGCACGCAUGCCUAUGCUCACCGUCGUACCAUGCUGCACAGGCCUGUGUAACUCUGUCUGUCUCUCUGUCUGUCUCCACCAGACCAUCAGAGAGAGAGAGAGGGAGAGAGACUAUUUACUUUACCGUUGUUGGCCUCAGCCUUAUAUUCCUUUUCUCUUUUAUUCAUUCGUUCCUGAUUCCUUCAUCAAUCGAUCAGACAUCAGAAAGGCACGCACGCACGGACGGCGAAAUUAUUUGCAAAUUAUUAUUAUUAAUUAAGGAACCGAUCGACAGCAGUACAGAUGGAUGGGCAUGAUAAUGUAAUUUUAAUUUGCUGCUAUGCUACUUGGAUAGAUAGGACGUUCAGACCUUCCAUGAAUUCCAUCCAUAUAUGAUCCCAACUGAGAAAUCCAAAACCAAGCAAGGGUUCAAAAUAAAAAGUUGCUUCAUGUGGUGGGGCCGCCAGCCGGAGGAGACAGUGUACAGCUAGCUAGUGCUGCUGCUGCAGGGAGGAGAUAGAUGAGGCAACUGGUUGGAGCUGGACCAACCAACACAAGAUCAUGGACACUGACUGACAGCCCAUGUAAUGUAGGGCAGGCCUCACACAUGCUCUUCCUAUCCGACUACACUCCUGCUCUUUUCCUUCUUUUUCUUUAAUCAUAGAUAGAAUAGAUAGGGUGUAUUAAUUAAGAUUUUGUAAGUAAAAUCCUUGAAUCUCUUUAUACGCAUGUAUACUCCCCAAAUGUUCUUCACGGUUUCUAGGCACCGUACCUAUGACGAUACAAUAUUCAGGCGUCAGCACCUAGCUCUUGCAGCAUUUCUUUAAUGGAGCAAUUACCUUGGUAAUUGCAUGCUGUCGAUCGCUUGGUAGCUUAUAAAAUUGUCAUUCCGAUGCUAGCAGCUUGUGCGGUGUCGUGGACCGUGGGCCAGAAUAUUAUAUAUAUUAGCAAGCAGCAGUAUGCAACUAUGCAUCAUCAUUAUUCUUUCUUGGGAUGCCAUCUGAAAUUUGUCCAACAAGCCAGUACCAAAAAAGAAAAAAAAAACAGCACUACAGCAGCAGCAGCAGCAGCCUGGGCCGGGAGUGAGUUUCCUUGCUUCAUCAAGUAGUAAAUGGGCUUUCAGUUUGUCAUCCUCUUGGGCUACAACAACAAUGGGCUGCUUCUUAAUCGUCGUGACCCAUCCUGCCAGCCCAAGAUGAUAUGAGACUACCAGGAGUAGGUGUUUGGCAAAACUAAACUGGUAUCUGCGUCACUGCAUGCAUGUUGCUUGCGCCACAUGCAUCGUAGAUAACUACUCCCUCCGUCCUGCAUUUACAGAGUUCAAAAUUGAUCCAAAAAUAAAUGCAUAUCUAGAAAUGGACCAUGGUUAUCCUUUUCUACUUUUUUUCUCCUCCCAAAGUGGAAUGAUUAUAUCUUUAUAGAAGUAUGUAUACGUAAUUUCUCACUAACAUUGAUCUCUUCACCCAAACUCUAAAAGUGCAUUUAUUUUGGGACGGAGGAAGUAGUUAGCAUUCUUUAACUUCUUUCUUUUCUCUUUGUCUAGUGGACCCCACGACGCAAUAUAUAUCAGAAUUAGAAUCAAAAUCAGAGAUUCAUAAUUAAACAUAUAAUAGCUGUAUAUACCGUCUAGGUAAUUAAACUGGUGGAUCAUAUCACGACGGCUCACAACUUCAGUUUAGGCAGCUCAAGCAGGUACCAAUAUAUAGCAAUACACGCACACUGUGGGUCCACAUGUCAGUGCGUGGGUCACCACCGGCUAUAGCCUACCCACCCAACAGUAUAUAUGUAUCUAAAACUAUACUCCCUCUGUUAAGUGAUAAUAAAUAACAUCGAUGACUGAUGGACUAUUACGUACUCUUUUUAUGGGGUUUGAUUGAGUAGUCAGGUUGAUACGUUAUUAGCAACCAACUACUACAUACUCCACAUUACCUACGGCUAGCUGCUUGGUAUAUCUGCUGGGUUCGGCGACAGUUUGUGAAACAAGAUAAACCAUCAAAAUGCAGCAAUGUUAAUUCAAGUUCCGGUUGCUAAUUAUGCUCGAGCUAGCCUUGAGAAAAUCAGCAAAAAGAAAGAACGAAAACAGAAUUGUUGGUCCAAGGCACCCAGAAUGUUUUGUUUCGGUUAAUAAUGUACGUCGGCAUAUAUAUUCAUACAAUCUGAUUGCAUACAAAUUAAAUGGUUGACACUAUAUAUGAAGGAUGCAUGGGGGCAAUUAUAUUAUAUUAUAUUUCUUCAAGAAUGCAAGCAUGAGUACCUUACCGUAGCGUACCUACCUGGAAGAAGUAGCCAUUGAUCGAUCGUCUCCAUGCUGAUCGAUGUGGUAUAUAUAUGAAAUGAUAUGAUAGCCCUUGAUUUCCAAUGCAGCAUCAUCAAGAUUCCCACACAUGCAUACACAUACACAUACAGAUACGGCCGGGGAUGGCAGUCGUCACGCGCGCAGUGUGUGAAUCUUGAUGAUGCCACGCCAGAAAAUCACCGGCUGAUUAAUUGAUUUGAUGAUCACACACACACAGAUAUAUAUAUAUAUAUAUAUAUAUAUAUAUAUAUAUAUAUAUAUAUAUAUAUAUAUAUAUAUAUAUAUAUAUAUAUAUAUAUAUAUAUAAGCUAGCUAGAAAUAAAGGGGUUAAAAUAAAAUAGGGAGAGUUGGAGGAUGCAUGCAUGGAUUAAUUGGAAGAGAUGGAGAGAGCGAUGGGGUAGGUAGGCGGCGGCCGGGAGGGGAUGGAGAGAUCGGUGAGGAGGUAGGUGCAGUGGAGCCUGGAACCUGGUGGAGAUUGAAAGCUAGCAUGCAUACAUGCAGCUAGAGAUGAUGAUGAAAUCUGAAUAUACAAUAGCAAGGCCGGCCGCUCGCUCAAGUGAAGAAAGAAAGAAAGGAAAGGGGUGGGGGGGCGAUGGAGGAGAGGCUGCUGCUGCUGCUGCGUGCUGCCAAUGGCAUAUAUAUAUACCAAUGCAGAGGUACGGUGGCCAACAAGCUAGCUCUCAGAUCGAUCCAUCCGUCGGGUCCGCUAUUAGGGCUGUAGCUACCUAGAGCUUGCCGAGAUCUAUAGCAGCAGUGUGUGUGCUAUAGCUAUCUGGCUUCCAUUCAUUCGUUGACAACCGAGUAAUUAUUACCAUGGGUGUGUGUUUUACUGUUAGUUGCUUAUCAGUUCAUACGUACGAGGACACGCAUCUGUGGUAGCUACUGGCCUAGUAAUAAUCAUCAGGCAUAUGUAGGUAGCACCGAUAUGAUAUGAUCCAGCAGCAUGCAAGCAACAGUGAGUGAGUGGGCUCGGAGCCGGAGGAGGUUAGACAUCGCCAUCGGAGCAGCCAAAAAGGCGGGGGGAGCUUUUACUCCAUCACCCGCCCCAGCUGCCAUCCUUGGCCUUGCCAGUUGCCAUUGCCAUUGCUGGCUACUGGCUAGGUACGUCGUCCGGUCCGGAACCAAAACCAACAACGCAUGCAUGGCCGGCCUUUCCCUGUGAGGAAACUAAACAGACUCCCAUCCAUGUAGUAUGUACAACUAACGUAACGUCCAUGUCCAUGUCAUGUACGUGGAUGGACGUACGAUCGAUCCAUCCAUCACCAUGCAUGCAUCUUUAAUUUUGCGUUCGUUUCAAGGCAAGCAUGCACAUGUAUUAUACAUAUACAUCAUGCAUAUGCAGUGCCGUUGCAACAGCUAACUGAUCGAUCGACUUGAAGAUGUAUAAUAAGAGUCGUUGCGCUCAUCAGGCAAGGCAAGGCAAUGCUGCAUCCAUUACGACGAUAUAUGGACGGCACAGAAUAGGACCGGACCGGUCGUCAAACCGGUAAGAUCGUCGGUUCAAUGGUCCAACCGUUAUGAACCGCCGGUUCAAUAAUAUUGGACCGUUUAAUUGAACCGUCUACAAAUAUUGAGAACCGAUGCAUACAUACACACACACACACAUAUAUAUAUAUAUAUAUAUAUGAUAAUUUGCAGUAUAUAGUCGGUUUUAAAUAAAAGUAGAUUAACAAAUCACUUUACACCAAUGUCCAUUAUAAGCUAAUUGGGGAACUAGUGACAUAGCCAUUUAGAAAUUUUAGUAGGCUCAAGUUUUUGCUUAAAAUAGAGAUGCACUUGAGGAUUAAGAGCUCCAUUAUAUCAAGUCUUAAAUUAUCUUUUCGAUGGCCAAUGAUAAAUUCCCUGCAAUCUAAGUGUAGUCUGCAUUCAAUUUAUAGAUCAUCGCAAGAAGUUCAAUCACAAAUACGUAGCGGAUAAUGAAAAAAGCAUCUACAUUCUACAAUCUUCGCCGGCGCUGCUAGCUAUGCCCUAUCGCGCGGCCACGCUCGCCGCUCACGGCCGUGCCGUUGCACCGCUCGUCACAGCGCCGCCCAUCUUAAUGCUACUACCUCGCUUCUGCUCCGCACCGCCAUGCAGGAGCCCGAAGGAAAGGUUGCCAUAAGAGAUAAGGUCAGGCGUGAGCUCCACGGACCACCAUGUAAAACUAGCAACGUACACCGCAGCAGCCGAAAGCCGCGGUUUGUUGAAAACCGUCGGUUCACCGGUUCCGUUAAAAACUGGCCUGUUAAACCAUUUUACCGGCACGAUUGCACAAAGGAUCUUUUAAGUGAACUGAGCUGUUGGAGGCUCCGGUCCCUGGUUUUUUCGGUCCGACCGCCCGUCCGGUCCGGUUAUGACAGACAGACAGCAGGAUCCAUGCAUAUAUGAUCUGACCACACCGGCCAUCUGCUGCAUGCAUGUGCCAUUUACGUGCGCGGUGAUCACCAGGCCACCUGAUCGAUUCGAUCGACCACCACACACACGAUAUGAUGGAGUACUACACAUGCUGUACGUGCAUGCGUCUUGUCCUCGUUCCACGUACGCAAGGUGGUUUAUUUGUCAAUGAGUAUAUAACAUGCAUGAUCGGCGGCCUAGCUAGCUUAUGGGAUGUUUGUUUAAUUUGAGGAAUGAAGGUACAUCUUCUCACUUCUCACUUUUUGUUUGGUUCGUGGGAUGAAAUGAGUUCAUCCCUCACAAACUAAUUAAUAUUUAGUAUAGUCAUGAAGAAUGAGGUUAUCCCACUAAAUUUCAUAGGAUCAGCUCACAAUGGACAAUCUCAUCUAGCAUGAGGUGAUUCCCAAACCAAACACACCAUUAAUUACCUAGCUUUUCCUACCCAAUGCAAUGCACCGCAACGCAGGCAAAGCAAGAGCAAGCAGCCCUUCCUUCAAUUCUUUUUCUAUAUCUCGGUAACGGUGAAAAGAGAAAAACAAGCAUUGCACUAUAUCGCUUUGUAUUUUUGCAUUCAGCUGGAAUAUUCCAAACUGUACUGCAAUAGUAUAUAUGCUUUGCUUUGGGAUCCAUCAUCCAUCAUUGUGUCCUUGAAGAGGAAGACAUCCAAUCCAAGAGCUGCUACUACGUGCGUGCGUGCGUACCAUAGUACACAUACAUCAUGCAUGCGAUGCAACCAUAUAUAUUCAUCCAUGUCCAUACAUACAUACAUACAUAUUAUAUAUAGAAAAGGCAAAUUGAAGGUUUGAUUAUAUUUACAGCAUGCUGGACGACGUACGGCGUGGUACUAGUACUAUUUACAGUUGGUGGUGUGGAACCAAAGCGAGCACAUCCCAAGGAAGAAGAAGGCGGGAAGAGCAGUCAGCAAUGCCAGUGUGUGGGGCCGUCCCGUCCAGCCCGCACACCAUAGCUAUUAGCUAGGGGAUGAUGGAUGAUGGAUGGAGAGACUAGUUGAGAGAGAAGAGCCAGCGAGUUAAAUAUAAAGCCUGCACCCGUCACAUUUCCGGUGGGCCGGGGCAGCCAGCCGUCCGAUCCCAUCCAUCUAUCCAUCCAUCAUCAGUCAUCCGUGUCCCUGUCAGUUUGUCAUCUCCAAUUCCCCAACUCUUCUUGCAUUGGACUCGCUUGGCUUUCUUCUUCUUCACGGGUUUGCAACUAUGCCAAAGCAUUUGUUUGCAACUAUGACAAAGCAUGCAAAUGUCAAGUUAGCAACAACCCGGCCAACCCUAGACGACGACGACGACAGCGCAAGAAACAAGGCAGAGCCCGAGGACGAUCUCCGUCAGCAAAACCGAAAAUUAUAUGCGCGGCGCAUCGGCAUCUUGUUGUGUGCAUGUUCCUGAUCGAUCGACAGCCAAGUUUGAUUGGAUGCUUUUCUUUUCUUUUCUUUUGCAUUGCAUUGGGAUGCAUGAUGCAGAUGCAUGCGUCGUCUUUCUCUACCUCACCUCACCACUUGAGUUCCUUGGCUGCAUGCUUCUCCCCAUGGCAUCUUUCAGCAUCUCGCAACUAUUCUACAACUGCAUAUAUGCAUUCUAGCUGUGAGAUGGUGAAUUCAGAUUUCAUCAGACUAUAGCGUGUGAGCGUCGUCUAUUCAGUAUUUACUGCAUGCUACUCCAUGCAGGCAUCUAGCUUGCUAGUUGUAUUUUACAUGUAGUUGAAACUGACAAUACAUGCAUAUGCACUGUCGUUAAAAAGGCUACUAGCUAGCUAGGGAAAUCUUGACCCUGCAGUAGCUAGGUUGCAUACCCAGCUAUGCCCAGGGUUCGGAGUAUAUAUAUGCUCUUAAUUAAUUGGACGGGGAAUGAUUAAUUGAUCCGAUUAAUUAAGCUAGCUUAGGGGUGUUUGGGAGGCAUGUGCUAAAUUUUAGCACCUGCUAUUCAAACACCCCCUUAAUUGCAUUGCAUCAAGUAAGCAGCAUCUUCAGGGCCCGGAUGUUCCAGGCAUGCACGUUGGCAAGCUUCAGAGAUGCGCAUCAUGCUCAUGCUGAGGAUAGGGCCGGGCACGGGCAGAACUGCAGAAGCAUGCAGCACUCAGCAGCAGAGGCCAGAGGGUUAGUUGCAGAACAGAAAUACAUUGCGCGAGCAGAUGCAGAGCAGCCACCAAUGGAGUGCAUGCUGCGUGCGUGUCCAGGCAUAGCAUGCCCUGCUUCAAAGAUGAGGAAGGAAAGGAAAGGAAAGGAAAGGAAAGCAUGCAGAGCCAUGGUGGCCACUGGCUGUGGCUGUGGGCAGGGGGUGUCGGCCACCGGCGAUCUGAAUGCUGAUCGACCGUACCGGCCGAUGGAUGGCCUGCUGAUCGAUCGGACCUGAACAAGACUACAAGAGCAUGCAGCAGCUACCUAGCUCUCUACUAUGUUUUACUAGGUACCUACUAUCUAUACCCUGCUGCUGACUGCUGCUAUAUCACAGUACUGCAUGACUAUAACUGCACGCGCGUGGUCAGAUGCAGUACGUACUACGUUGUUGUGUAACCGCAAAUAGCGUGGAGACACACACCAUGGACGCAGGUACGGUAGCUGCACCCUGCUGCCUGCUCUCCAGUAGAGUAGUAGCGACGCAUGAUCCAAAGCCUGAACCUGAACCUGAAGACGACGACGACGACUAUACUAGCUACUAGCUGCAGGUGAGAAGUGAGAAAUGCCCUGUCCUGUCCUGUCUAGCUCGUCCGGCCACGCAGCUCGUGCUAUUUUUAGGCCAUGUUUAGUUACUCCCAACUCCCAACUUUGACACUAUGCAAAAAGAAGAUUCCCCAUCACAUCAAACUUGCGGUACAUGCAUGGAGUACUAAAUGUAGAUGAAAUUAAAAACUAAUUGCACAGUUUUGUUGUACUUUGCGAGACGAAUCUUUUGAGCCUAAUUAGUCAAUAUUUGGACAAUAAUUCACAAAUACAAACGAAACGCUACAGUGUGCUACAGUGCUGUAACAGUAAUUUAGCACCCCCAAAUUCGCCAAACUAAACACGGCCUUAACUUUCCUCAUCACACUUCACUUCAGUGGUCAGUGCGACCCUGAUGGAUCCAGCACAGCAUCCACGAUGGAUGGCCUAGGCCUCCAAUUAUUUGCAUGCACUGCAAGCCUACUGCAGGCAUGCGUCCAUCCUUCUCGACUCCAUCUAGCUACUUGGAUACAUUUAUAUAUCACAACUACCUGCGACAUCACUCGAUUGAUUGAUUUAUAGGGCUUAACCUUAACCCCUAAUGUACUACUCCCUCCAUUCUGACCUAUUUUCAAAACUCUUUUAAUACUUGUAUUUGAGUUGAAUAUUUGACACUGUUAAAACAUUUCCCCCCUAACAAGGAGUAUAUAACCGGAUGAUCGAUAAACAUUUCUACUUGGUCAUCGUGAACCUCCAAUUAUGUGAAAUAGAUUUAUGAAAAGAGAAUGGAGUGAGCACUAUGUAUCCAUGCAUGUUUCGAUGAUGGAUCAUCUACCCAACUAGGUUACUACUGCGGUCAGGGGGCCUGGGGCUCCAUCAUAUCUCUUAUUAUGGUGGUUUGUUCCGUCUACUAUAUUUAUCGAGAUUCAUAUGUAUCUACGAAUAAAUGCAUGCGUUAUGUUGGUGUCCGGUGGCAGGGCAACUCAAUCCACAUUAUAUUAUUAUUAAUUACAUGCAUCAAGGCAUCACAUUUCCAUGCUUGCUGCCCUCCAAGGAAUUGAAGGACAGGGCUUCUUUGCAGUAGAAUGCUGCAGCUUUGGAUCGGUGUUAAAAUUGGAAAGAAGAUGCUUCCCUCGUAGAAACUUGCUGCUUGCACACUAGUACUAGGCUAGCUAGCUGGUGUUAAAAUCGUGUGCUACUCUUUCUGUUUCAAAUUGUAAGUCGUUUUAUUUGUUAGGUUUAUAGCUUUUGCUAUGCAUCUAAAAUUAGAUGCAUAGAAAAAGCUAUAAAUUUGAAAAGGUUAAAAUAAUUUAUAAUUUUAAAUGGAUGUACUAAUGGAUGGGUAGCGGGUUGAAGGUGGGAAGACAGAGACCUCAAGGGAUUAUCUACCAGCUGCUAUGAGACUCCAAUCCGUCGGUGCAAAGAAGCAGCUAAGGGAGUUGAGUUGGGCCGACGGACGGCUGAGCAAGAAUAGCUGGUCUGGCAGCCUCGUUUCUUGAGUUGGGCUGCUGCCACCUACUUACUAUACUGCGACUUGGGCUGCCAGGUUUCCUUCCAUGCAUCUAUCAUCUUUGUGUUGGUCACAUGCAUGCAUUUGUAUAUCUAUACAUGGUGUUGAGGAGUAUUAUAUGUAUGGGGGACAUAGAUAAAUAUAUACGCAACUCGUCCAUCUUUUAUAUAUAUCUAGAGAAUCAUAUAUCAAAAUUCCUAAAUUAAACAUGCACAUAUAUACGUGUUGGCCGAUCCUACUAGGUAGGUUGUGGAGCAUGUGACAUGAGGAAACAAAAUACUCAACAAGCAUGCAUGCAGAUGCAGUUGCGACCAAACAAUUAUUAAUUAUGAGAAGCAUGCAUGAUGCCAUUGCCAUGCACGCGUUGACGACUCUUUCUUUGCUCAGCGCUUGGCUCUCGGCCUCCGAUUCCGAUCCUUGGCUAGCUUCAAUAUCGAUCAUAAUUAAUUGCAAAUGCAAAUGAUGCAUGCAUGGCCGGGCCCUCGUGCAGGCGGCGGCGUCGGUCACAGGUCAUGCAGUGAAGUCGUUUACGAUGGAUAGAUGGACGGCCCACUCGUACUGAUGCUGCACGCAAGCAAGCUACAUGCUGCCUUGGCCUUUGCGUUGCCUUGAUGCGCAGGUCAGUCGUCAGGUCAACCCUUGUCGUAUCCCCUGGCGCGGCUUGGUCUCCCAUUAAUUGGCUUUGGUCCUUUCCUUGGUGGUCAAUUGAUCAGCACAUACAGGGCAGACACGCACAUGCAUGAUGCAUCUAUCCCCACUCACUAUAUAUAAUAUAUAGAAGAAAAAAAAGUCAACUCUUAAUGCGACCAAAAAAGAAUGAUUAGUCCGAUCCGAUCCGGCCGGUGAAUGAAAUCUACCUGCUUCGUUCCACCCAAGCAAUGCAGCGAGCAAGCUGGGAUGUAAUUUCAAUUAUUCACUCCAGCCGAAGCCGAUACAUUAUUAUUGGUUGGGUUUGGUGGUGAUUGCACAUACAAUACAAUAUAAUUAGACCAUGCUACUACAAGUGAUUGCUGCGCGUGCGUGCGUGGAUGCCAACAAAGUCAAACUACUCCAAAUAAUGCAAUAUAUAUUAGAGUCCUGGCCUCAUCUGAUCGAAUAUAUGUUCAUGCGGCUAGAUCGACAACUAACAUUAAUUCAGGCAUUAUUAUCUUACUUGUAGGUCUCUCUCUUUAUAUUAUGGUAUAUAUAUGAUCGAUUAGGUAUAUACUACCUUAAUUACCCUACUGUUCCAUUCAGUGUGGUUGUUGCUUCUUAAUUAUACAUGCAGCAGAUAUAUAUAGAGAUAGAGACCAAUUGAUCGACCUGCCCUUAUCCACGGCACCAUCUGCCCUAAUUCUAUUCCCCUACUAGUUUAAUUAGGGCCUGUGGCCUGAUACAGUUGUAUGCAUAAUAUAAUUAAGAAUGCAGCAGGUCCAGCAGUAGUUCAACUUGCACGCGCAGCUAGUACCGCCUUUUCUUCUAGAUAAUAAUAUAUAGUAGACACAACGAACUACUUAUAGUACUACUAGUAUUUUACCCCCUCCGCUUCAAAUUAUAGGUCGUUUUAGCUUUUUUAAUUCAUAGAUUUUAUUAUACGCUUAGAUAUACCCUAUAUCUAGAUGCAUUAUAAUCUAGAAAAAGUCAAACAAACCUCUAAUCUGGGACGGAGGGAGUAGUAGAAGUCCACGCAUGCAUGCCUACAGAAUAUAUAGCCUAAUAUAAUAAUUAGUAUAACAAGAUUAUUAUUAAGGGAUCGGACACAAUGCAAGAUACAUAUAUAGGCGGAGUAUUUUCUAAUUAAAUUACAUAUACUUUGUUUUGGUAGCUAAUAUGUUUUUUUUUUGCGGGCAGUAGCUAAUAUGAUAUGAAGGGAUGCGCAUAAUAUUAUCAAGGUUGCUUGAAAGCUUCUAAUAACAAUCAAUCAAACAUGCUCCCUCCCUGGAUGAUCGCUUUAGUAGUUGCUGCUAUUAUUAGCCUAUUAAGAGAUAGAGAGACAAUGCAAAUGCAUUAGUUGCACCGGCGGGGGCGACAUUGCAUUGUUGGGUCAGUUAGUCGUAGUCGUCGUCCUUGGAUUUCUUCCUUCUCCUCUCUGCCGCCGCAUUGCAAAUACUAACAAGCAACCCAAUGCCACCUCUGCAUGCAUGCUUCAAUUCAGAUCGAAGGGCAACUGUGAUGCAUGCUUCAUGGGCAUGAGGGUACAUUGGUCUUUUAGCAUGCACGGUGAAAAAGGCAGGCAGCGGGUUGGUGAGGAAGUAGUGACAUACCCUCAUUGUAUACGCAAUGCUAAGCUAGCUUGUUCCUUCUUCUCUUCUUCUUCUUCUUGUCUUGCUCUCUCUAUAUAUAGCAGCAGCAGCAGCAGCAGGUAGCCCCAGCAGAUCGAUCGAUCCAUUCCAUUGAGAAGCCAUAAUUAAGUAGCCGCCUACCUAGAGCUAUCAGUAAGCCGGCCGCAGCAACAUAUUCGAUUCGAUCCGAUCUUUGGGCCGGAGCAAUUAGCAGCAGGCAGGCAUAUGGAUAUGGAGGAGGAGCAGCUGCUGCAACAAGGAUCAGCCGCUGUGCCGCCGCCGCUCGAGAGCAGCAAUUAUUGGCCGAGCAGCAGCAGCAGCGAGGAGGCGGCGGCGGCAGAGGACGACGGACCUCGGCGCCGGCGGGAGUCCAUGGUCAACAGGCUCAUCUCCACGGUCUACUCCGGACCCACCAUCAGCGACAUAGAGAGCGCGCUCUCCUUCACCGGCGGCGAUCACCUUGUUGCUGCUCCUCCUCCUCCGGCGGUCAUGGACUCCACCACCAGCAGCCCAGUGUACGUAUCUGUAUAUAUUAUAUAUAUUGUUGCAUCAAUUUAGAGCAGUAUUCAUCGUUCACCUGAUGAUCACCUCGAUCAUAUGUAACAUAUAUAUUAUGAACAAUUCUAGGGUUUUCUCCCCGGAGAAGGUGCUGAGCAAGAUGGAGAACAAGUACACGCUCAAGAUCAAGACCUGCGGGAACGGCCUUGCGGCAGAGGAUGGAUACAAGUGGAGGAAAUACGGCCAGAAAUCCAUCAAGAACAGCCCCAACCCAAGGUAUAGAUACAUAUAAGUUAAUUAUUUUUCAAAUUAUCAUAAAUAUGGAGAAAUAGAAUACUAGUACAUACAUAUAAUAAAUUAAAGAACGGGGAAAGAAGAAGAAGAAAAUGCUGGAGCUGUCAUCGUCCCAAGGAGAUGAAGGGGUUGCUAUGUAUGGUGACCCGGAUGGAAUGGAUCCAGCUAGCGAGGCGAAGCAACCAAAUAAAGCACUGGCACUGGCCUAGCUAGCUUUCCCAACUGAAAGAAAAAUUGCAUUGCCAUCUUCAUCUAGUGCUGUGCUGCUACUUACUACUCCAGCUAGCUGGGCAUUAUCCUCUCCCGAGCCAUUAAUAAGCUAGCUGGGCAUUCAAUAAAUUGCUUAAAUUAAUAUCGGCUAAUAUAUGCAGGAGCUACUACCGUUGCACGAACCCUCGGUGCAACGCGAAGAAGCAGGUGGAGCGCUCGACGGAAGAGGCGGACACGCUGCUCGUCACCUACGAAGGCCUCCACCUGCACUACACCUUCAACUACUCACCCCAACAACACCACCUGCUGCUGCCUCCGCCUCCACCAAGCUGCAGCAGCAAGAAGCCCAAGCUGCACCCGCGCGGCGGCCCACUUGCAGAUGCUGAUGCAGGAGCAGCAAUCCUCCAGAACAGCAGCAGCAGCCCGGCCCAAGAAGAGUCUAUGAUGAGCAGCAGCACCACGAGCAGGUCGUACUAUGCUCCAGCUUUGGGUGCCUCAUCACCACCAUCAUCAGAAGCAGCAGCAGCAGCUGCUUGUUAUUUCGACAAUGCUACUACUAGUAAUAAUGAAGACGGGCUGCUUGGGGAGGUGCAGUUCCUUCGGCAGCAGCAGCAGCAGCAAGACUACUGCUGCUUUGUUGACUUUGAGGAGCAGCAUCGUCGUCAGCGGAUGGCUAACAGCAACAGUAGUAACGGCGGCGGCCUGCUGGAAGACGUUGUUCCGCUGCUUGUCCGGCGCCCAUGUAUCAGCAGCAGCUCCAGCUCGCCGGGGAUCACCACCACCGCCGGCAGCCCGUCGCCGUCCCUGUCCACGUCGUCCUCCGUCUCAUGGAACCCCUACAUCGACAUGGCCAUGCUCUCCAACAUCUUCUGAUUGCAAUUGUGCAUGAUGCAUCAUCUUCUCAUUACUAUAUAUAACAACUAGUUCGAUAUAUAGAUAGAAUAUUAUAUAGACAAGUAUUAGUAGUAUUAAGCGUAUGCAUUAUUCGAGUAUACUAUUGUACGUUCCUGUAUGUACGUGCUGCAUCACUAGGGAAUAAUCCAAAGGAAAAAAUUUAAAUGUUGCUUGCAUUGCUUUAAUUUGUAACACUAUGUACGGCAAUGGCUUACCGGGAUCCUAGCUAAGAAAGGAGGCUUGGGAUGGAUGAUGGGCCAAGUAAGAGCGAGCCCAACCCAAUACUGGUACUGGGCUGGGCGUGGCGGGCCCAAUAUUCCAACGGCUAGUUAGUUAUCCUCGUGCGGCGUGGACCCACCGAGCAUCCAUCCAUGACCAUCUAUCUUCCCCUUUCUCCUGACCUCCUCAUCCAAGUCAAUCCUAGUGACCGUUGCCGCCGCUCCCCCUCCUUGUUCUUCCCCCUUCUCGCCGGGCAAUUGGCAAGGAGAGACAGCGGCGGCUGGCGGGGGCACGGAACGGAGCCAGCAACCGGUCGGCAACCACUGCCGAUAGAUCGACGAUGGCGGUGGCCGACGCCAAGCCGCGCCUCAACGUGCCGCCGUCCAUGGCGGCCGCGCUCCGCCUCGAUCCCGUCCCCCUCUCACCGCCCACCUCGCGCCGCCUCGCCGAGGCUCCCAAGACGCCCUCCCCAUCCAAGACCACCUACAGCGACCGCUUCAUCCCCUGCCGCUCCUCCUCCCGCCUCCAGAACUUCGCGCUCCUCGACUCCCCCUCUUCCAACUCCAAGGAUGAAACCACCUACUCCCGCCUCCUCCGCGCGGAGCUCUUCGGCCCCGAUUCGCCUGGUCCGGCACCCGCGACCUCCCCGGGCCCCGCAUCGCCCAACACCAACCUCUUCAGAUUCAAGAAAGACCACUCCGCCGCCACCUCCCCCUUCGCCGCCGCCCACCAGGACUGCACCGCCGGAUCUGGGGAGCCCACGGCGUCGCCACAGAAGCCGCCCAGGAAAGUCCCCAAGACGCCGCACAAGGUAUGUAGGACUAUUUUCUGCCUUCUUUCUAUUCUAUUUCUAUAUUCCUCGCCGGCAGCCAAUCCCACAAACACCUCGGCAGGUCCUGGACGCCCCGUCCCUGCAGGACGACUUCUACCUCAACCUCGUCGACUGGUCCUCGCAGAACAUGCUCGCCGUCGGCCUAGGGACUUGCGUCUACCUCUGGUCCGCCUCCAACAGCAAGGUCACCAAGCUCUGCGAUCUGGGGCCCAGGGACAGCGUCUGCGCCGUGCAUUGGUCGCGGGAAGGCUCCUAUCUUGCCAUUGGCACCGGCCUUGGAGAUGUCCAGGUCUGCCUUGCUUUGCUGUGCUUUACUUUCUCCAUUUUCUAUCUGCUCAAAUAGAAUUCUCUGCAAUUUCAACUUCUUUCUCAACAAACAGAUCUGGGACAGCUCGCGCUGUAAACGGAUUAGGAACAUGGGAGGUCACCAAACACGCGCUGGGGUAUUAGCAUGGAGCUCCUGCAUCUUGUCCUCCGGUAGCAGGGACAAGAACAUAUUGCAGCACGACAUCCGUGUCCCCAGUGACUAUAUCAGCAGCUUCUCUGGUCAUAGAUCAGAGGUGAGACUACUUCCAGUAGGCAUAAAUGACAUCCUGCAAUAAUUUUUGGAUCUCAGACCUCUGUGUUUUUCAGGUCUGUGGACUAAAAUGGUCGCAUGACGACCGUGAGCUUGCUUCCGGUGGAAACGACAACCAGCUACUAGUAUGGAACCAACGAUCGCAACAGCCAGUGUUGCGGUUGACGGAACAUACAGCUGCGGUUAAAGCAAUAGCGUGGUCACCACAUCAGCAAGGCCUCCUGGCAUCAGGAGGCGGAACAGCUGAUAGGUGUAUCAGGUUUUGGAACACGGCUAAUGGGAAUCUUCUCAACUCAAUAGACACAGGCAGCCAGGCAAGUAGUAGUUCUGAAUGCAAUCCACCACUAGGGUACUGUCGUCCUGCUAUCCUCACCAUUUUUUUCCAAUUGUAGGUUUGCAACCUUGCCUGGUGCAAAAAUGUGAAUGAGCUCGUGAGCACACAUGGGUAUUCCCAAAAUCAAAUCAUGGUGUGGAAAUAUCCAUCUAUGUCAAAGGUAUUGUGGAUCUCAGUACUUGACAUAUCUUGAUAUAUCAGUAAGCCAAUUGUAUGAUGCUUCCUCUGGAUGUACUUCCAGUUUACGCAACUUGCUUUUUCUCGGCUUGCUUCUGAUAAACAACAUUUCAUUGCUGUGGGCUGAGACAUUGAAUUAUGGAAUGCUUAAAAAAACAGUGAAAUGUAGACUAAGCAGCAAUAUACACAUGUUAAGGUAGCAUAGCACAUUGUAGCUAUCAGUACCUCACCUCUCUUCAUACAUCAGUAAGAACACUGGACAUUAUAUAAUUGUGUCCUUUGGGUAUGAAGCAUCGAAAGCCCUCCAAGGAGGCUCCGUCUGCAAGUUAGUUAACAAGAGUUUUCUUUGAUGCCGUCUAAAAAGAAAAGUCAUUUCUUUCCGAGACAUUGGCUUGCUGGUCGCUUAGAGCACGAUAGAAAUGUAAACUAAGCAAUGAAAACCAUUUGCCUGCGCACAGCCCAUGACAAGGUUAUGUGCUUCGUAAUAAACAGUGUUGAUCUUGUGCUGUGGUUGUUUGGAAUUUUAAUGUUAAGUAGAAUAAUAAAUGCUGUAUUUUGGGAGAACAGGUUGCAACUCUAACUGGACAUACGAUGCGUGUGCUUUACCUUGCAUCAUCGCCUGAUGGCCAGGUAAAUCUGAAUCCAGCUAGUUGAAUAUUUGUGCAUCCUAGAAAGAAAUUAUGUGAAGGAAGAGAAGUUAGAUGAUGAGAUGUAAUUUGCAGACCAUAGUAACAGGAGCGGGCGACGAAACUCUACGAUUUUGGAACAUUUUCCCAUCAGUGAAGACACAGGUAAUGCAUGCACCUCUAGCUUGAGAAAGAAUUGAGAAUUCGGUGACGACGUCGUAACGUUGCUGAUCCCCUUGGUGUUUUUGCGUUCAGACUCCUGUCCGUGAUAUUGGGCUGUGGUCGUUCUCAAGAAGCCACAUCCGGUGAUGAGCGGGCCUGGGCCUGGGCCUAGACCUAGACCUGGAGGAGGCAAACAAGAUGCAGAUAAGCUUAUUUGUUGGGAAGCAAGAUACAGUAAAUUGUUUACAGGCGUGUGCACAGGUAGCUAGUUUGUUGAGUGUUUUUUUUGUUGUUGUAAAAUGUGAGGCCUGAUCAUUCAUUGGUUCAUUGUUGUUUUUGUUUGUGUGUGGGGGGUAAAUUAAUGGAUUGUUUGAGGUAGAAAGAAAGAGUCGGGUGAUGAUGUAUCAGAAUACUUGCUUGCUGACGAUUGACAAAAUAGAGAUAAAACAGUGAACUGCAUGUAACUGUUUGUAUGUGUGGGCGACUGACUUGACUUGUUCGUAAUUGGAAAUGAGUCAUUUGUGUUUGGUCCCUUGAAGCAUCAUGUAUGAGAACGUGUACCUCUCUCUACUAGUCCUCCUCUAGAGUAUGAAAAGGGCAUCAGAUGCUGCCUGUGACGCUUUUCUUCUCGAGAAACAACAAGGCCGGUGAAAAGUCCGUCCGUAUCGCAUGUAUGAUCGACCUUGAAGGGAUAGUUGAAUUCGUUCAUGUCAUGUCAUGCCACACGCGGCGGCAAGCCAUGCCCCCAUCCCCAUGCACACUAUUCUAUCAUUGUUUCUUUUGAACAAAGCAAAUCGUACCUGCAAUGGUGUUGAGUUGAAAUAAUAAUAAUAAUAAAAAACUAGAGUGGACGGUGAGAUCCUGCCAUGCUCGUGCUCUCACGCACUGUGCUUCCUCUCCCUCCCUCCCUCUCUGCUCUUCGCCUCUUCCCCACGCGAAAGCCCAUGUCUUGGCACAUGUCCAUGCCCAAGAAAGAAUUUAAUAAUUAAAUAAAGAAAAGAAAUUUCCACGCCACCUUCUUUUUCUUUCUUUCUUUGGCCGGUCUCCUUCAUCUUCCAUCCCAUUCCCACAGGAUUCCCGCAGCGAAGCCGACCUCCUCCCUCCCUUCCUUGCUUGCUAUAUAUCCUAGGGAAACCCAAAUCUCCCCAUAAACACCCUCCAUUCCGUUCAUCAUCUCCUUCCUGAGCUGCGCCCGCGCCCGCGCCUCGUCGGAAAACUAAAUCUGGUUGGUAACUCUUCUUGUGGAGAUUGCUCAAACAUUCAGGCAUCCCUGCUCUUUCCAUUCCGGAUCUUAGCCUUGUUUCUCUUCUCCACCAGAGCGGCCCAAAUCUCGCGCUCCCCAACGUCCCACAUAGUAUCUAGUAGUAGAUCCAAGCCACAUCUGUUUCUUUCUUUCUUUCUUUUUUCUUUUUGAAACGAAAUCUGUUUCUGUUGUUUCCAAUUUUUGCGGAUUAUCAAACAUUGGUUACCAUGCCCUGAUGUCCGUCUAUUCUGCAGAACGCAAUGGACUACGACGGCAGGUACAACAAGGAUCAGAGCCUCAAGUGUGACUGCCUCCUCUUCGGUAAUUUCUCCUCCUCCUUGCCAUCGUUUCCAUGCCUCCAAAGAAAAGAAGCAACGCCGUAUUCGUUUCAAACAUGCAUCUUGUCUCUUGUAGACCUCGAUGAUACGCUGUACCCGUUCGCCUCCGGCAUUGCUGCCGACAUCGCCAAGAACAUCAAAGGUACAACCACCCUUCUUAACCAACCAUCUCCUCCUCGUUGCAACAGGUGAUAGAUGCUCAUGAGGUCUACUCUACUCUUCAGAUUACAUGGUGCACAAACUCGGUGUUGAUGAGAGCGUUAGCUUGGAACUAUGCAUCCUCCUCUACAAGCAGUAUGGAACCACCAUGGCUGGUUUGAGGGUGCGUGCUGCUAAUUUCUACACAGAUGAACAAACCUCCUUGUGUUUUUCUAUGUCUCCUUGCGUUCUGGCACUAAACCUUGCUUCUUGCUAUCUUGUUAUAUACCAUAGGCUGUUGGCUACCAGUUUGAUUACGAUGAUUUCCACAGGUACUGGAUUCUCUGCCCAAGCUUCCUUGUUUUGUGACUCUGCCAGUAAUUUGUACAGAGGAUAUUCAUCUUCUAACUGCCUCACUUGCUUUCUGCAUCAGCUUUGUUCAUGGAAGACUGGCCUACGACAAGAUCAAGCCUGAUCCAGUGCUUAGGAACAUUCUGCUCAGCUUACCCCUACGCAAAAUUGUAUGUACCAAAAACUCAACAUCUAUUCUUUUAUAACAGAGACUAACUAGUAUUUGAGUGAUAAUUUUCUAGCUGUGUUCCUAGGUGUUUACAAAUGGUGAUAGAAUCCAUGCUUCAAGGGCCCUAAAGAGGCUUGGAAUUGAGGACUGUUUCGAAAGAGUUGUGUGUUUUGAAACACUGAACCCAACAUCUCCUGCGCUGUCUGACAAGCUUGAAAUCUUUGACAUUAUGAAGCAUCUGGCUCAUCCACAACCCGGGGUGGAGCUACCAAAAUCACCAAUCCUGUGCAAGCCAUCAAGAGAGGCAAUGCUGCAGGCCCUCGAGGUCGCCUCCAUUAAUCCACACACAACUGUAAGCAGCUACCUGCUCACUGGCAUGAUCAAAAGCUGAUGGGUACCUUGCCUUACAUAUAUUCAUGCCAUGGUGUACUAGUAACCGACUCUCUUGCUCGAAACACCUUCCAGAUAUUGUUUGAUGACAGCUUCAGGAACAUCGAAGCUGCAAAGCAGAUCGGAAUGCGAACCGUCCUGGUAAGGAAAUAUCCCUUGUGUUUGAUGUUAGAAAUUUUUGGGGCCAACAUUGAUUGAGGCAAAAAAUGUAAUGCGAGUGUGAUGAAUAAAUGUACCAACCAGGUUGGAACGUCUGAGAGAAAGAAAGGUGCUGACUAUGCCUUGGCAAGCCUCCACAACAUGAAGGAAGCGCUGCCUGAGCUGUGGGAGGAAGCUGAGAAGGAUGAAGAUGUGAGGAAUUCGAGCAAAGUCGGAAUAGAGACAUCUGUGAUUGCAUAAUAUCUUCUUGCGCAGCCCUUUUGUUUGCCGUGGAGUUGAGCACCUUUUUUUGGGGUAGCCCACCUCUGCACAAUCUUUUGUCUGAAAAAGAGCUACCGAUGAGAGGACAAGAAAACCAUCUCCUCAAGGGUUGGGGACUGACUGAUACUAUAACUGAUGUUACGUCCCACGUCCCAUAUACCAUCCAGUAAGGAAUAAAAUGUUUCCUUGAGGUACUGCAAUAGCAAUACUACUACUUGUCUAUCAAUGAAAUACCGCAGAAAUACUUUGUCGUGAUGGGUUGGGGACACCUGAUUGUUGUACUCGUGAUGGAUAGUUGAAGCACCUUGAUGUUUGGAUCCAAAUGCCCAGCACUUUGGUACUUGGUUCCUCAUGCUUAUGAUAGUGAUUCACUCUUUACUUCAUUAUUAGACGCUCUAUGAUGGCUGAAUGAAGCAAGUUGCCCUGGAGCCACUGCUCUGUGUGUAGAACACUGAAACCUAGUUUCAGAUGAGCAGUUCUAUUUCGGGUACAGUCAAAUGCCAAGCCUUAGAUCACGCUGGAUCAGAUCAGUGCCAUCAAAAGUACAGUGUGAUCGAGUUAUCCCCAAAUUCUCAUGUGGUACAGGAGUACACUUCAACCUACACAAUGCACCUUCUUCCCAGAGCAGGCAGGCUGCAGACGAUUUUUUCCCUGAUGCAAGGCCACAAUAAACUAUUACUCUCCAUGCACAGAAAUAAGUGGGUGUGUGUUUUUGUCUCUGGUGACAUAAUUGGUUCUAGAAGCUAUACAUCCUAGCUGGUAUGGCAUUGCCCUAGCUGCAAGUAUUUUGAUUAAUAGCAAGCUUGUGAUGUCCAAUCGUUUGAUUCAUGAUCAUAGAACAACACUUGACCACAAGAAGAGAAUUCACUAUUAUUCGUGGGCUCGGAAAGCGAUGUGUUACCAGCAGGCAGAGGUCCCUUGGCAUUGCAAUUGCACAGACAUUGUGUACAGCUUAAUUAAGGGAUGUUGUUGCUCCACAAGAAAAUAAAUAAUCCCAAAAGAAAACAGAAGCGACAUAUUGAUUUCCCUAUGCUCCUUUAAUUUGGUUGAUAGAGUUUCUUUGAAUGCCACUAUAAUGCUCUAGACUAGAGUUAUCUGGUCGCUGGAUCUCCCGAUAGUACAACUUGCAUGUAUACUAAGAACAGUCUGCGCACGGUUUCAUGACACAGUUACCAAAAGUCAGUCUUAGGCUAAUCCCAGUGGAGGUUUUAUAGAGGUUUCAUGCACAUUAAAUGCAGUGACACAUCAGCAUAUGUGAUGACAUGGCAUGAUAGUUAUGAAGUGAUAGAGUAAAGAAGUUUCAUCAGGAUGAAACUGUGUAUACACUGUUUACAAGACUAUGAAACUUGCAUUGGGGGCUAUAGAGUUUCAUUCCAUCUAACCAUAUCCAAUCACAUGCCUCAUAAUUAAAUGUCAUGGUUAUCCUAUGAAAUCGUGAAAUGAAACUAUGCACUGUGACUUUUUGUUUCAUUCAUGAGAAUACACCUCAAGGGAUGAUGUGGCAUCCUUGGAAACAGUGCGAUGAAACCUUGCACUGGGACUGACCUUAGUGCACAAUUUCAUGACACAGUUACCAAGACUGAGAACUAGUAAAAUGAAACUUCCUCUCCUCUCUCCUCAUAAUGACUUUGCUACGCCAGCAAAUUUGUUGAGGUGCAAUGUUAUUUAAUGGUCAUGAAAUUUUUGAUGAAAUCUCCACUGAAACUGGUCUAAUGAUCUAUCUGAUAAAGAAGGCAAAGUGGUUGUGUGUAUGAUCUCAUCGCGUGCUCAGUUGAGUGCUCAGUUGAGAAUACAAACUUUGUCCAAUCUUGGAUUCUUAUAGACCAUCAAGUCAUGACAUCUGAGAUAAUAAUAUUUAAUCAACAGAGUGUUUUUUUUUGUCUCAUGUAAUGUGUUAAGCCAGCUUUUCCUUGAUACGUCUGACCAAGCAAGAAAUUUAAACAAUUCUUUCACCGGAUUGAUACGACAAAACAGAAGGGAAAAUGAGGAGAUAUAACUUUUAUCACAAUACAUUGAUGAGUCAUAUUAUGCACAUAAGGAAAUUUAAUGCAAAAUAAAUACUAAUCCGCUGCUUCAUUAAUUAGUCUAGACCUUUCUUUUUACAAUUAUGUGCUGAAUUACCCUUCAACAAAUGCAUUUAAUUAACUGCAACGUAGGAGCUAGCUGAGGAGCACACAAUGCUCUGCAUCAAAAAAUUAUACACCACUGCCUAUAUAACACACUAGAAAUUAACUAAUCCGCGUCCUCAUGCAACCAAAGCAAUCAGGACCAUGAAUGUGUCAUAUCAGAUCUGAAUGGGCUUAAACCAGACAGAAAUGCAAAGAAAACAGUAUUGGAUCGAUUAGCACAUGUACAUCCAUCUGGGUCCUACAAAUUCACCAAUAGUAGAUCUACUGGCACACAGUAAUAUAAAAUGGUAAUUAAAUUCGAAUCAGACACUAGUGAGAAAUUGUCAACGUUUGACUCAAGCCAGUUAGCUCACCCAACACUAAAAUGUUACAUGUAUGUGUAUGCAUUUCAGUUUACCUUUUUUAUAUUAUUUAGUAAAACACGAGUAAGCUACAGUUACUUGUUACUAAUACCAAGUCUUUAGAGUGAAGAAACAGAAUUAACCGGGAAUAGCCGGUGCAAAGUGACGUCGACCCGCCCAGCCGGUGACAAGUGGGGGGGAAAAAAGGUGUGGGUGUGGUAUAAAGAAAAGAAACAGAAGAGAAGAGGAUAGCUGGGGUUUAAGCCAGGUGAAGGGAGGAGCGGGUGGCCUCGAGGGUUUUUCAUCCGCCGAUCCAGGUAACUGCAAGGCCAUGGCGCCACCACAGAUCAAAGUAAAAAAAGAAGAAAUCUUUAUUCCUUGCGCCGAUUUCCCCCCUUCUUCCGUGCACUGUUCUUGGAUCUUCUUGUUUGGUUGGGUUCUUGGUGGUUUGGUGGGGGGUUGCUUGAUCUGGUGGGAUUCUUGAAAUUCACACGAUUCGAGCCCUUUCCUUGGGCGCCCAGCUUGGAUUUCGUCGGAUUUCUGGUCAGCGGGUUCGGGUUUGGUUUCCCGAUUCAAUCUUGUAGCUGCGAGGUUUUGCGUGCUGGGCUUGAAUUGCGCGGGGGUUUAGACGUUUAUGCCCGGAAUUUUGUGGUAUCUUCUAGGUGGACGGAUUUGAUAUGACAUCCAGAUCAGGACCUGUCCUGCAGUCUCUUUGUUAAUUGGAUUCCCGAUUGGUUUCGAGGGUAUUUGUGUCUCAAAUUCUGAUGGACUUUUGCUUCUAUCAUGUUUGGUCGGUCCCCUGAAUUUUAGCUGAUUUCUUAAAGUCUAUGGGCUUCUGAACGUAACACUCCACAUUUCAUAGAAGGCAGUGUACAGUUUUGUAAUAGUCUCAGAUGUUUGCAAUAGUCUGUCAUUUGAACCAUCUGAUUGGAGUCAUGAUUUCUGUUUAAGUUGCUCAAAUGUUUGUAAGUUUCAGCAUAGGUUGCUGUUGCUCUGCCCCAAUCAGGAUGCUGUCUGCUGUGUUCCUUUUGCUGUGAUGUGGUUUACAGUUGGGUUUCUUUGUCCAUAAUUGUCUUACUAGAAUGCACACAAGAUCUGCUUUGGAUCUGCAAACUUACCUUGUCGAUUCCCGUGCAUUUGUCCUUUGUCUUGAUCUUUGAUUUAUUCACAGGAACCGGAGACAAAGAAUCCUGCUCAGGUGCUCAUUCUUUGGAUGAUUCAUUUUGGAUGCUCCGUGGAGGUGAUCUCCCUCUCCUUUAUAUCUUGGCCAUUUCUUGCAAUUGCAAGUUCUACCACAUCCAACUACCCAGCUUCAGCUUAUUCUGGUAUAUAUGUAUAUGCAAUCUCUAUGUAAUUUCAAUAAUGCAAGCCAUCUUGUCACAUCCGACUGCUUUGGAGGAUUGCUAAAACUGGUCUUGUUCCAUUCUUUAUUUAAAUAAUUAAGUCCUUUUCUAGUGGUGCUAGAUUUGUUCCCAGUACUUGUGUGAUCAAUAGUGGGUGAAAGUUUAUGAAAUCCGAGUUGAUUUCGUGUAGGUAAAGAUGAUAAAUGUGGUAUUAGCAGUCCUUUGCUGUCAGUGAAUGCUUGCUGUGUAGGUGACAUCAAAAUAUGGUGUCACAGAAGAGGUUGGGCUAUGGAUCCCGUGGCCGCCAAAUUCCAGCUAUGCCACGUGUUCCAAACUCAGUUCGGGUAUGUAGCUUUUUGAUUAUGUGUUUCUUUUGCCACAAUUUACCUAUUGAAUCUUCCUUAUUCGACUAACAAUUGUCCAGGGAAAACGCACGACGAGAAGAAAGAAAAAUGAGAUGUGUGCAUUUGAUUUGCUUGCGAGCGUCGCCGGGACGCUAUUAACAGAUCAGGACAGUUCAUCUUAUGUUCCUAAUACUAGCGGAGCAGCAACAAGUUAUGCCAGAAAUAGGAAAUCAGUUAAAGAAGAAUACUUUGAUGAAAUUUUGCACCUGAAAAAUGUGGCUGUGAAGAAAGACUGUGGCAGUGGGUGUGUAGUGGGCUCAGGUGGUGUCUCUGCCUUACCUAGGAAAGGUAAUGACGGCCUGGCUGAAAACUCAUUGACAAGAAAUGAAGAUGAAUCAGUACUAAAGUCACUAACAGUGAAAUCAAAUAUGCUAGCUAGGGACUCAUCAGUUAGAUGUACAAGGCCAUGUGAAAUUAGUCGUGGUCUUGGCAUAAUUUGUGAGUAUGGAGCUUUUGGAGUAUUCCAUCCAGGAUCCUCAAGCUCAGCAGAGGCUGGACAAGCGCAUCAAGCUGAACCCAAAGUGAUCAGAAGCAAAGCAGACGGGCAUACUGCAGCCCUUGACAGCUUGUUUGACUCUGUGGAUCUGGAUGGCAGACCUCCUGCUUUGGUUAGUUCUGACAGUAGCUCAGGUGUGCUUUUGUGCAGCCAUGACAAGGAACAUAAAGCCGCUUCCUUGUGCCAGGUUGAAAUGCAGCAUACUGCAGAUAGAGAUGAUGACGAAAAUUCUUCUGGGUGCACACAUCCAAGCACCACAGGAAAUGAGGGUUACAAACCGCAUUUUCUAGGUAACCAUAGGAUCAGGAAAUUGCUUGCCUCAAAGGUAAGGAAGGCAGCACGUAAUAAGACUUCUGGAGGGAUGUCCAGCAAAGGUAUGCCAAUCCCAUGGUGCCAAUCGGUGUUUCCUCUACGUUCCUAAUUCCGAACUGCUCCAUAUUUGCAUAGAGAGAACCGUCUUCCUUUUUUCUUCUCUAAACCAUUAUGGCCACUAGCCAAUGCGGCAAUGCAGGAACUAAUUAUGGGCUAGCGAUUGUUUUGCUCAACUAGGCAGCAAGCUAAACUUCUGCGGGAAAAAGAUACCCACCACACGUCAAAAGGUGCAAAGGACAAAUUUCAAGAGGAAAAAGCUAGCGCGAGGUACAACGCCAUUUGCUAAAGGGAUGCUAACUGGAGGUGUGUUAUAUUGUUAACUCACCUUUACCUGGUAAUUUUGAGGCCUUAACGUCUUUAGGAUGAUGCAGACAUCCAUCAUCCAUUUAAUAGCCUUCUAUAUUCAUUUAUGACCUCAAUCCUUGUUUUUGAUUCACUUCCUAAAAGAAAAUGUGGCUUGCCAUUUCAGCCACCGGGACAUCAUUCCGUAUGCAAGGUCAAAAUAAAUCAUGUGGAUCUGAGGACUACCAUGGUAUUCUUAGAUAGUAUUUAGCGUUAUGGAUAGUUCUAUUAAAAUCUAUGAGCAUAAUGGAUUAUCACUUUUUUUUUUCUAUUUUCAGUUAAGCUAAGGAUCAAGUCAUUUAACAUCCCAGAAUUAUUUGUUGAGAUCCCUGAAACUGCAACAAUUGGUUCAUUGAAGGUAAUUAGGUAACACUAUAUGGGCAUGUACAAGUUACUGAUUAUUCAUGCGUUCAUUUGUGCAGCCUACCUUUUGGUGUAGCUGUUGUUAAUAACUGUUAUAGUAUUAUUGAUGAAUCUACAAGACCACGUAGUUCAUUUAACUUGGUGAAUUCUCGAAUAAUCAAAUGAUUUAUUGCACAUUUACAAUGUGAAAUAAUUGGUCUUUGCUAUAGUCCUAAUUGUUACACUAUACAGAGUAUUUUUCUAGCUGGAACUUUCACCUUUCAUUGCAGAUGAUUAUAAGCUCCUUGUGAGUGUGCUUGAGUAACAAUUUUCAUUUGUCUAUAGAGAACCGUGAUGGAUGUUGUCACUAGUAUAAUGGAAGGUGGCCUACGUGUUGGUGUUCUUCUUCAAGGAAAGAGUAUCCAAGAUGACAGCAAGACACUACGUCAAGCUGGUAUAUGCCAUGGUGAAAAACUAAAUAACAUAGACUUCACACUGGAAUGUGAACGUCAGCAAGAUUCUCCCUCUGGAGUCAUAAUAGCAGAAGAGAUGGAUUUUGUCAGUGCAGAUAUUGUGGAACCAUUAGCUAGGUAGGUGACUUGCAGUACAGUUUUCUCUUGGGUGUAGUGAUUGAAAAAUAGCAACAGGAUGUAGCUUUAAUAGUUUAUUUCCAACGCUUUGUUCUUAAGUGUUGAUACUAGGCAUCCAUUUGCAUGUUUUCAUUAUGUUUGUACCUUGUCUACAAAUUCUGGAGCAUUACCAAACCUAAUUAUCCAAACUAAAUCUAAGGACGUGAAUAUUCUAUGUUUCCAGGAUGAAGUAUGAAGAGCCAUUUCCUGGAACUAAAGGCGGUGGGGGCAACCAGCAGCCUAUAAAGGCGUAUCCAAAUGACUCUUUCGCUGGUUGUGUUCAUCGUCCUGUUGAAAUGGCCUCACAAGAUGCAUCAGCAAGCUUGCAAGCCAUAAUCCCUGUUGCAGCUUCAGACUUGAACGCACUAGCCAUUGUGCCUAUUUGCAAGACCAGACGAUCUGAAUUUGGGCAAAGGCGUACAAGGAUGCCCUUCUCUGUUGGUGAGGUUGAGGCACUGGUGGAAGCUGUGGAACAGCUUGGGACCGGAAGGUCUGUCCCCUAUUUUUCUUGGUUUCAUUUUAUUCAAGGUUAGUGCUAAUGGCAUGCUAACUCAUGUUGGCUGUUGUUCAUUUUCUGUUCAGGUGGAGAGAUGUUAAAAUGCACGCAUUUGACGGUGCUGAUCACAGGACAUAUGUUGACCUUAAGGUGAUUUUAUUGAACAUAAUAUGUUCUUUGUUUACUAUUCAUAAUGAGCCGUCAACUGAAAAAAUUCAAAACAAAAUAUAGUUGUUACCACAAUUUAUUUGUGCUCCACUUCAAUGCUCUGUUGGUGAACUAAGCUGCCUUUAAUCUGUUUCUGUUCAAUCGGCCGCACGAAAUCUGUGGUUUUUCUAACAUACUGCGGAAUACUGAUUGAUGAAUCAGGACAAGUGGAAGACCCUGGUGCACACAGCAAGCAUAUCCCCACAACAGCGAAGAGGCGAGCCAGUUCCGCAAGAACUACUGGACCGUGUGCUCUCAGCGCAGGCCUACUGGUCCCAGCAGCAGGCAAAGCUUCAUGGCAAGGCUCCUCUUCCUGAGAUUUGCCUUGCCUAGAAAGAGGAAAUGCUCGUGUAAAAAUUGUGCCUAAUAAUAGAAAGGUAGAAGGGAUGUGCAAAGGAAACAGACUAAUUUGUGUGCUAUUGCAAACUUGUAACAUUGUUUUUUUCUUCUUCUUUCUUUGGUCUCUGUUGAAGCCAGAGGCUCUCUCCUCUGUGGAUCAAUAAGGGAGAGAACCUUGUUUGGUACUUGUAAAUGAUGCUGCAGACUAUUGCUGCCAUGUUCCAUAAGAAAACAUUGAGCAUAUAUAAUAACACUGUUGUCAUUGGGCAUGCUCGAUGCGUAUGUUAUCUUGCAAAUUUUGUGCUGACACUACAGGUACUAUUUUGUUGAUUUUGGAUCCGUCGUCAAUCUGAGGGGGUGUUUGGGAAACCCCUGUUAAAGUUUAACACCUGUCACAUCGGAUGUUUGGAUGCUAAUUAGGAGUACUAAACAUAAGCUAAUUACAAAACUAAUUGCACAGAUGGAGUAUAAUUCGCGAGACGAAUCUAUUAAGCCUAAUUAGUCCAUGAUUUGACAAUGUGGUGCUACAGUAACCAUUUGCUAAUGAUGGAUUAAUUAGGCUUAAUAGAUUCGUCUCGCGAAUUAGCACAAGGUUCUGCAAUUAGUUUUAUAAUUAGCUCAUAUUUAGUCCUCCUAAUUAGCAUCCGAACAUCCGAUGUGACACUGUUAAAGUUUAGCACCUCAUAUCCAAACAGCCCCUGAGACUGAUGAUGAUGGCGCAUAUUCAAUAUCAUCUUUGUCACAAUUCCAAGGGUUUAGGCCCAUGGACCAACCAAACCUGGGCCAUCAUUUCAUCCACUCCCCCCAAUACUGGCCGCGGCCCAUCGUUUCCUUACCGCAGGUACCUUCUCCAGUAAUCCGGUCGGUUGGCUCACCGGCCGACGAGAGACUCCGGCCGCCGGCUCGCCGCUCCGCCACCGAACUGAACUGGUGGAGCAGAGCAGGAGAUGGUAGAGUAUGAAUCUUGCGGGGCCUCUGUCUCGCGCGCCCUCCUCAGUCGCUUCCUCCUGCCAAGCGCGCAGUCUCGCCCAAACCCUGCUCUCCUGCCUCGCCGGCGACCGCCUCCGCCGCCUCCUCCCGGCUGCCCAUGCCCGCGCCGUCGUCUCGGAAGGUCUCGAUGACCUGUUCCUCGCCAACCUUCUCCUCCGCGGCUACUCCAAGUUCGGGCUCCUCCACGACGCCCGCCGCCUGUUCGACGGAAUGCUGCACCGCAACCUCGUCUCCUGGUCAUCGGCCAUCUCCAUGUACGCGCAGCACGGCGGCGAUGAACAGGCUCUUGUCCUCUUUGCAGCGUUCAGGAAAUCCUUUGACGAGGUGCCCAACGAGUUCUUGCUUGCCAGCGUCCUGCGGGCCUGCACGCAGUCCAGGGCUGUUCCUUUCGGCGAGCAAGUGCAUGGCACAGCCUUCAAGCUUGGCCUGGAUGUUAAUCUCUUCGUUGGCACCGCGCUGAUCAACCUAUAUGCAAAGCUUGUCUGCAUGGAUGCAGCGAUGCGGGUGUUCCAUGCCCUCCCUGCCAAGAACCCGGUCACUUGGACAGUUGUCAUCACUGGUUACUCUCAGAUUGGCCAGGGUGGACUUUCCCUAGACUUGUUUCAAAAGAUGGGGCUUCAAGGUGUCCGUCCAGACAGGUUUGUGCUAGCAAGUGCUGUCAGUGCCUGCUCUGGGCUUGCCUUUCUGCAGGGAGGCAGGCAAAUACAUGGUUACGCUUAUCGAAGUGCAGCAGGAAUGGAUGCUUCAGUGAUCAACGCAUUGAUAGAUCUUUAUUGCAAGUGCUCCAGACCGUUAGUGGCUCGGAAGCUGUUUGAUUGCACAGAGAACCAUAAUCUUGUGUCUUGGACAACAAUGAUCGCUGGUUAUAUGCAGAAUUCACUUGAUGCUGAAGCCAUGGACAUGUUCUGGCAGAUGUGCCGGGCUGGAUGGCAGCCAGAUGUCUUUGCUUUUACAAGUAUCUUGAAUUCGUGUGGCUCAUUGGAAGCUAUAUGGCAAGGAAGGCAGAUACAUGCCCAUGCCAUAAAGGCUAAUCUGGAGACUGACGAGUAUGUCAAGAAUGCUCUCAUUGACAUGUAUGCUAAGUGUGAUCAUUUAACUGCCGCAAGAUCUGUAUUUGAUGCCUUGGCGCAUGAUGAUGCAGUUUCUUACAAUGCGAUGAUUGAAGGAUAUGCAAGGCAAGGUGAUCUUAAAGAAGCGCUUCAUAUAUUCCGUAGAAUGAGAUAUUGCUCCCUAAGGCCAAACCUAUUGACCUUUGUUUCGCUCCUUGGGGUGUCAUCAUUUCAGUCAGCUAUUGAAUUGAGCAAGCAGAUUCAUGGUCUCAUCAUCAGAUCAGGAACUUCAGUAGACCUAUACGUGGGGAGUGCUCUAAUUGAUGCCUAUUCAAAAUGUUCCCUCGUGGAUGAUGCCAAGGCUGUGUUUCUUAUGAUGCAAAACAGGGACAUGGCCAUCUGGAAUGCUAUGAUAUUUGGCCACGCGCAGAAUGAGCAAGGUGAAGAGGCAGUAAAGCUCUUCAGCCAGCUUCGUGCCUCUGGGGUAACACCUAAUGAGUUCACAUUUGUAGCACUAGUAACUGUGGCAAGCAACUUGGCAAGCAUGUUCCAUGGUCAGCAGUUUCAUGCUCAGAUCAUCAAAGCAGGUGCUGACAUUAAUCCUCAUGUUUCAAAUGCUCUUAUAGACAUGUAUGCAAAAUGUGGCUUCAUUAAAGAAGGAUGGUUGUUGUUUGAGUCAACAUGUGGGAAGGAUGUCAUUUGCUGGAAUUCCAUGAUUUCAACAUAUUCACAGCAUGGUCAUGCUGAAGAAGCCCUUAGAGUCUUCCAGCUGAUGAGAGAGGCCGGAGUAGAACCAAACUAUGUGACUUUUGUUGGUGUGCUAGCAGCAUGUGCUCAUGCAGGUCUUGUUGAUGAAGGUUUACACCAUUUUAACUCUAUGAAAACAGAGUAUGGUAUUGAACCAGGUACCGAACAUUAUGCUUCUGUGGUCAACAUUCUCGGCCGGUCAGGUAAAUUGCAUUCUGCUAAGGAGUUUAUUGAAAGGAUGCCAAUCAAACCAGCUGCAGCUGUUUGGAGGAGCUUGCUGAGUGCCUGCCGUCUCUUUGGUAACGUUGAAAUUGGGAGGUAUGCUGCUGAGAUGGCACUCUUGGUAGAUCCGUUAGACAGUGGACCUUAUGUAUUACUGUCAAAUAUUUAUGCCUCCAAAGGGCUAUGGGCUGAUGUGCAGAAGCUAAGAUUGGGGAUGGAUUAUGCUGGGAUGAUGAAGGAACCAGGUUAUAGUUGGAUUGAGGUGAUGAUGGAGGUUCAUACGUUCAUUGCAAGAGGUACAGAGCACCCACAGGCAGAAUCGAUAUAUGCAGUACUGGAUAACCUGACGAGUCUACUGAAAGAUUUUGGCUAUCUUCCUGAUACCUAUGAACUUCCAUUGCUUGGGGAUAAUGGUUAAUGCUACUUGCUCAGUGGUUAGCAGUUACUUCCAUGAGAUGGACUAUUCUAAUUCGGUAUCGACACAAUAUUGAUUCCGGUAUGACGAGGCAGUGAUAUAGUGGCUUUAGAAUGUUACUGUGACUUACUGACUUACAAGUUACAACUGCCCAUUCCAAAACAAUCUCUCUGGUCAAUGGUCACUACUUAUGGACCAAGAUGAGCAUUGGAACGGAUGAUAAGAUAUUAAGAGAGAGAUGGAUAGAGAGAAAAUCUGAGCAGUUUACUAUUGACUCAGAUCUUUGAGAUUUGUAACUGCAUAAAACAGUUGUUGGCUGUGAAGCUUCACCGAUGCGCAUAACUCAGGUAACGGCAUCAGAGUUGCAUUUGAAAAGUUAAUAAUGUUAAACUGAUUCAUUCACCGAUAAGAAGAUAUUGUUUACAACUAUUUCAUUGGCCAGUAACUGAGGUAAACCUAUGUGCUGUAUUCUCCUGACUAACUGGUUUUCCCUGAGGCAAAACAAAAAGAGUUGUAAAAUGGUUAUUGAUGAUCAGGACAAGUGGAAGAACCUGUUGCAGACUGCAAGUAUAUCGCCAUUUCUACAAGGACUUUUUGACUUCGCCUGGCGAAACCCAGGGACAGCAUCCAAGCAAGCCUCCAGUCCCUGAAAUUUCCAUUGUAGGGAGGAGGGUGUCCAAAAGAAUCUAGCAAAACUGUGCAUAUUCUAAACUCACGAUUUGUAGUUUCAUCCUAGUCUUGGCUAGAUUUGGCCCUUGGAACCAGCUCAAACUUCGGUGUAUUUCAACACGACCCAAUGCUUAUAGACCUAUUUGUCAAAACAUUUCAGUUCAUGUGCUUCGUCGCUGGGCAGAACUAGGAGCAUUAGUCUGGUGAUUUGCAACUUGAGUCACCUUUACGUAUUUGAUUUACAAUGAAUCUUCAGGGACGAUAUAGUAUUUGCACACUGUAUUUGUGGACCCUUAAAUCAUUUUGGUCUGGCAAAUAUGUUAACCAUGUCAACAUGUAAAAUUACAAGCUAAAUUUUGUAGAAGAACACCUCAAAGGCUCAAACAUGCUUAUAAUACCAAGUUUAUUAAGAAUAUUAGGUAAAUGCAAAAUUACAAACAGUGAAACCGAGAGGUACAAUGGGAGUUUGAGAUAGAAAUGUCAAGCAGCAGACAAAACAUUAUACAGCAUUGCCUCUGUAUCAAGUUGUUAACAGAGGGACUCAAAAGUUCAUAUUUGAUGCCUGAUCAAAUCAUCUCCCACACAGAGGUGCUUUAACUUUACUGUACAGAUCUCCGCGGCCCAUUGCUGUUGGACAGAGAGAAUAGGAAGUCGCCAUGGAGAAUGGUUAAUCCUCCAAGAUGGAUCAUGGAUCUCGCUGUGUCUUAUCUAGUGUACAUCCUGCUGCCUGCUAGUCAGUUUGCCCAGCCGCAGAUGAAUUUGCAACAGGGAGCCAGCCAUCUGAUGGCAACUUUAGCAGCGUUCCUACAAUCAAUAUCCAUAUUGAUUUAUUUUAUUAACACUGAGUGCUGCCUUUCUUUUUCUACGAACUAAAUUACAAUUACAUGUGAGCUAUACACAAGGAGGAUGAUAGGAUGUACUCACAACUAUUCGUGGGGAACGACGCAUGUUACGUACCAUGGAACCAGGGGAUGCUGCUGAUUGGGAUGAUAGUCCUUUCUUAGUAGGAAUUUUCAGAUUCUUUGACCGACUUCGAGUGUGCCUUUGGUUGGUGCUGUUUUCACUUCUGGAAUCGAGUGAUAAGGCUGAGAGUGAUGAAGAUGUUAUGGAUGACAUGUCAGGGCAAAAUGAGAUUGCCGAAAGGUUUCCUGCAGAAAGCACAACCAUAGUUCUGAAUAAAUAAUAUGAUGACGAGUUAGUUGAUACGUUUACAAAACAAAUAAUUAAUUUAACACUUCAAAAAAAAUGAAAAAACUACCACAAUACCAUGCUCAAUAUUCCUGAACCUGGAACCUCGGUCAUGAUUGAAGUUGCAUUAAUAUAGACAUUCUUUUCUGAAACAGAAUAGGUAAUGAGAAUAUGUAGCAUAAAGUACCACUAAUUGUAGCAACCUGGAACCUCUCUCUCAUGGUCCUCACAAAUUUGUACAGAUCAUUGUUGCAGUUAAGAUCCUUCACCAAUUCUUUGGAGCCAUCCACAAAGGGAACACAAUGGACUACUGUUAUCAACAAGAGAAAGAACUUCAACAUCUAUGCAUAAAUGUAAAUCACUAAAAAGUAUCAGACGAUUCAGCUAAGAAACUUGUAACUCACAGAUGUAUCUUUCUUCAAUAAGCUUUAUGCAAAAAGAAUACUCCCUGUCAGGACUUUGCACAUCAAUUUUGCUGAACACAAAUUUGACCCCUAACAAGAAGGUAUUUGUCAGACGCUAUUGCAUCAACCUAAUAUACUAGUUAACCAUGCAACUAAAUUUCCAUUACCUUCUCCUCCAACAACUUGAAAACCAAGAAACUUAUCGUACCACAUGAUCGCUUUCUCUAGGUUCUUGUCCCCUUUCGUAUCAUUCUCAGCUUCAAGGGAUUCAAUAGCUGCCAUCAAAACAAGAGUACAUAAGGCAUAUAGGACUCAGAUUAUGCUUAUCCCAGGAAAAUGUUCAAGAGAAAAAGAAUCGAGUUCACAAUAACAGAGAUAAAGUGCAUAUAUAAAAGCAAACCUAGAGCUGAAUAAAGCAAUAGUAUCGCAUAUUGUGUAAGCAUAGAUUAAAAAGACUGUGCCAUGGAAAGUGAAUGGCAGAAAUGGUGCCUACUUCACUUUAUAAUGAUAAGGAAAUAUGAUUUACCUUGGAGUUGGUUUGAUAUGGCAUUCACAUAUUCAUCUCUUCUAGCCCUCUGAUCCAUGACCAAGCUUCUAAGCUGCUCAUUUGUUGCAGUGGUGUUGAGAAUUGAUUCGCUCAUGAGCUUGUGUUUUGACCUUUUGCUGGUUUGGACUGCGGGGCAAAAACUUGGAUGAGAUGCGAUAGACAAUGUGGUCUAGUACGGGACCAAGCAGUAGCAAGAAAAUAAACGAAGAAAACAGAAAAUGCCCAAACGAAUAAUUAGCCAUCUAUUUCUAUCUAUGUAUGACAAAAGGCAGUGAGAAAUAGACGAUGAUACAUUUCAGCAACCCGACUAAAAAUCGCAUGGAAAUGAGGGAAUGCUUGUGCUCACCGGAGAGGGCUUGUGCAAGAUCUGCUUCUAAUUUCCGGAGCUGUUGUUUUAGGUCAUUGAGCUGUGCUGCAUAACUCGGAAAACACACAGAUGAGUAAAAGUAAAUUUCCCAGAUAUUUCAGAUUAAACAAAUACUAGUGUUCAUAGAUAGUGAUGACGGAUUGUUGGGCUCCCUGGGCGCAGCGCAGUUGGAACGUACGGAAGUAGUAGUAGGAAGCAGGUGAGGAGAAAGAAGGCAUGCCUCGGUUGGAGACGGUUUGGUUGGCGAUGGAGCGCGCCGAGAGGAGGGCGGCGCUGAAGGCUGCGGCGGUUGCGGUGGCGCGCUCCUGGGCGUGGGAGAUCCGGCGCUGGAUGGCGGCGCGUUGGUCCUGCAUCCUCCGGAGCAGAUCGACGGCGGGCUCCGCCGCCAUGGUGGUGGUGACUGAGAUGAGAGAAAUCGGCAGGCGGAGUGGCCGUUCAAAAUUUUGGGGGGUCUUUUUACAAUGAAUGCUUCUUGUGUUCCUUCCCGUGGAAGCCUCCACCAAACACACACAACCGGGCCCCCCAGUCGGUCGUGUCGUCGUCUAUUGGGCUGGGCUUUGUACCUUAACUGGGCUGGCCAAGCCAGCCAGCCCAUUUAACUGGGGGUUGCAGCAGUUGCUUUUCUUCCCCUCCCCUCCUCCUCCGGCCACGGCCACAGACUGCCGGCGAGAUCCAGGAUGUUCGGCCUCCAGGCGAGCGGCGCGGCGGCCUCGUGGGUGGUGGGGCGGAUGGGCACGGAUGCGCACCUCUACGAUGACCCUGACGACGCAUCCAUCCCCGCGCUCCUCGACUCCCGCUUCGACGCCGACAAGGUCGACGCACUCAAGCGCCUCCUCGCCCUCAUUGCCCAGGGCGUCGACGUCGCCCACCUAUUCCCGCAGGUCACUUCCCGUCGCUCUUCUUCUUCUGCUGCUGCUCUCACUGCUAAAUUCAAUUCACCCCCUGUGCUCUGUCACAAACAACAAACGCAUUCCGCCGCCCAGGUCGUCAAGAACGUCGCGUCGCAGUCGCUCGAGGUCAAGAAGCUCGUCUACCUCUACCUCCUCCACUACGCCGACAAGUACGUAAUCAUCACCCACGAUAUCCCAUACUACUACACUUCGGUCAGUAUGCGGUUCUCACUUCUUUUCCUCGCUGUCGGCUCUGGCUCCAGGCGCCAAAACGAAGCCCUUCUUUCCAUCAACAUUUUCCAGAAGGAUUUAUCAGAUAUAAACCCACUAGUCAGGGCUUGGGCCCUGCGCACCAUGGCUGGCAUUAGACUGCAUGUCGUUGCUCCCCUCGUCCUGGUUGCUGUCAAGAAAUGCGCCAGGGAUCCAUCCGCGUAUGUUCGAAAAUGCGCUGCCUAUGCACUUUCUAAGCUCUGCGACCUGCUUCCGGACCAAGCUACGACUUUACAGGAGGUUUGUCUACCAUUACCACCUUCUUCUUUCUGCAAUAACCUUACAUACCAAACGCACCUCAAGCCUACUGCUGUUGCAGAUUGUAGACAUCUUGUUCGACGACAAUUCCCCUGGAGUAGUGGGAGCUGCCGCUGUUGCAUUCAAGUCGGUCUGUCCAACUUGUCUACCAUUGCUGUCGAAACAUUUCCGGAGGCUAUGUCAGACACUCCCUGAUAUUGAAGAAUGGACACAGAUCAUUCUUAUUGACAUCCUCUUGCGGUAUGUAAUAGCUAGGCAUGGCUUGGUCGAGGAUUCUUUACUCUCCGCUUCAAAUUUAUCUACGGAGGUUCAGGGUAUCACGGAGUCGGGUCCUGUUGCUACCAUGCCCACACAACCUGAUUCUAUCGGCAAUGGGGUUUGUGGUACUAUAUCAAACAUCAUGCUAUUCCGGCACUACAUCGAAGAAUAUUCAGGUUUUCCUGACAGGCAAGGCAAUAAUUCGAGCUUUUCAUCUGUCACCACUAACAUCAACGAUGACGUUGCACUUCUUUUGAAGUGUACAUCACCUCUUCUAUGGAGUCGAAAUAGUGGAGUCAUCCUUGCAGCAGCAAGUGUGCAUUGGAUCAUGGCUCCUGUUGGGGAUCUGAAGAGAAUCAUUGGCCCGAUUUUGUUUACCCUGCGGUCAUCUCCUGAUGCAGCAUAUGCGGUACUUCUUAGAUACUUCAUUUUUUGUUAAUGGCCAUCUGAAAUUUUUAGUGUCAUACUCUAAUAGUUCAGUAUUAGGACUUUGCUUCAUUCAGAAUAGUCACUUCUUGAUCAGAUCAUUUGAAGAAGUCCUAGUCUUUGUUUUGUUUAACAAAGAGCUUCUGUUCAAAGUGAACUUAUGACCAUGAUUUAGAAUUUCCACAAAAGGGUAAAGGAGGCUACCUGUAAUUUCUCCAUGACUUUCUCUUUCAGUGGCCCUGUGUGAGGGUAGAAAUUUAUAAAUUGAACUUGAAAUUGAGUUCCUCCCCCCAGAGUAUUGAACAUUAAGUUCUUUCUUGGCUUACAGGAGUUUGAUAGUUUUCAUCAUGCAGUUUCUCACUUUGACCUGACCUUUCCUAUUCUUCUGCUAUUGCAGAUGCUUGGCAACAUACUAGUUUUUGCUAAGACAAUGCCAUCAUUGUUUGCCCCGUUUUAUGAGGACUUUUUUAUAAAUGCUUCAGAUCCAUACCAGACUAGGGCUUUGAAGCUUGAAAUACUGACCACUAUUGCCACAGAGCCAUCCAUUCCAGCCAUUUUUGAAGAAUUUCAGGUAAUUUCUUGUAGAUGCAAUGAACAAUAGUAUAUCUAUCUCUUGGUUUUUGUUUUAAACUUGCAAUGAUGUAUUUACGCCCCACAUGAAAUUUAUAGUUGAACUUUUGCUAAAUCUUAAGGUCACGUAAUGUUAGUACAUAUUUGAAACAUCUUUUUCAAAGACAUGUUAGCUUUGCUUGUUUUGUUGUGUCAAUGAUUCAUGCAUGGUUCUGGAAAUUAUUUGUUGCUCUGUGCUUUGCUUGAUGUCAAGUUCUCUAAAAUGCACUCUUGGGGAUUAUCAAGGGAACUUUGAGUCAAAUGGCAACUUAAAGUCAAAUCAGCAAGAUUUAAGUAUUGCUAUCCACCUGCAAUUUGGUGAAGAAUUUCAAUUUUAGACAAAGUGGUGAAUACUAAGUAUUUGUCAUUCUGUUAAUGAAUCUGGUGCUUUCUUUCUGCUACCAGGAUUACAUUAAAGAUCCAGAUAGGAAAUUUGUAGCAGAUACUGUUGCAGCUAUUGCGUUGUGCGCCCAGAAACUUCCCUCUAUUGCCACCGCUUGCCUUGAGGGACUUUUGGCACUUGUAUUUUAUGGUAAUAAUUUUCAUCUAUGAAUAUUUUGGUAUAAAACAUUCCUUUUGGAAUUAAUGUUUUAUUUUGAUCAUCAUAUUACAGAAUCGUCUAUUUGUAACUCAGUUCACUUUGAUGGAGAAGAUGCUGUUCUGGUUCAAGCAAUCUUGUCAAUCAAAGCAAUAGUGAAAAUGGAUCCAGUAUCCCACGAAAAGGUACUAUUUAGUUAAUCUUGUAAUGCUCCACUUGUGUGUGUGUUUUUUUUUUCCUUUUGGCCAAAAGUUUUUUUCCCAACCCCCAGCUAAACCCAAGUUUUACCCAGGUUGCCUAUUCUUUUUGCUUUCCAUUUUAGGAAAGAAGCGCCUGAUGUUCUUUUUUCUUCAUGAGAGCUUAUCCUGGUUCUUUUAGCCUCUUGACUUCUUUUUUUCUUAAUUUACCAUCCAUCAUGGGGGCUCUGGAACUCAUCCCCUAUCAUGCACAUUUGAUCACUGCAUUUUAACUGACCUUGUAAUGCUCAUUCAAUAAAACGUUCUCAGAUGUGUCUAUUAUCUUGGUUGUACCGUACAACUAGAUCACCUUUUUGUCAUAAUCAUCUGUCGGUGAUAAUCGGUAGCUUGUCUACUCAAGUGUGAAGAACCUAUAAAUGUUCUAAACAACAGAAUUGUUUUGUAUUUCUUUAGUUGGUUUAAUAAUCACAUUUUAUAGGCAUGCUGUAAUAUAGAAUCACUGUUAGAAUUGUAUGGGAGAAUAAAUACAGAAUAUAUAUCACUCUAUGUCACUAUCUGCUAUUGUUUGAAUGAAUGCAUUUCUUCCCAGCUUGAUAAUUAAUCUGGUACCCUCACUAAUCCUUUUACAAAAAUAUCCGUUAUUUUUUUCCCCUUGAUGUUGCGAUCUUGCAUCUUCGCUAAAUUACUUCGAUGCAGGUAAUUGUCCGCUUGGUGCGCGGUAUGGACAAAAUUAAGGAGCCUGCAGCACGAUCCUUGAUUAUUUGGAUGUUUGGAGAGUAUAACUUCAUGGGAGAUCUCAUUCCCAAGAUAGUUCCUGCUGUUCUCAAGUAUCUUGCAUGGUCCUUCACUGUUGACGUGGUCGAAACUAAGCUUCAAAUCCUAAAUGCUUCUGCCAAGGUAUAUCCUAAAUUAAGUUUGCAGCUCAUGUCUAUAUCCUAAAUUAAGUUUGCAGCUCGUGUCUAUAUCCUAAAUUAAGGUUCCAGCUCAUGUCUGGAGAUUGGUAAUAGCUUACCUUUUUCAGGUUGUAAUGCAUUGUCCGGAAGAACAUGCGGAAGAAUUCAAAAGGAUAGUUGCAUAUGUCAUUGAGUUGGCUACAUAUGACUUGAAUUAUGAUGUCCGUGAUCGUGCUCGUUUACUUUCAAGACUUUUGCCGUGCUCCACGACUCACCUAGAACCCUCAUACCAACCUCAGAAUGGCGAUAUUUGUAAAGAGCUUGCAGAUCAUAUAUUUGAUCGAAAGUUGCAGUCAACAUCUCCUUCAGCAAGAAACUAUCGCAUUUAUCUUCCAGGUUCCCUUUCACAGGUUGUUCUUCAUGCAGCUCCUGGUUACGCGCCACUUCCAAAGCCUCAAAGUAUGGAAUUAAGCCAUAAUAAGAUCAUUGAAUCAACCAGAGGCAUAGCCAAACCUUCUGGAAGUAAUAACUCUGAUGCUGAAUCUGGAUCUUCAACAUAUGAGAGCAGCUCUGUUUAUGAUUCGGAGAGUGAAGAUGAUGGCUUAUCGGAUGGGGAUACUGAUGAAUCCCUUCAUCAUCAAGAUAACCAGGAUGCUCCAGUGGUACACAUAUAUGAUGCUAGUGUACAGCAAGGCCAGACGCGUGAAACUGCUGAUGAAAAUUUGGCAGAUCUGAUCUCCACUGAUUUAACUGAGUUGAUGUCUAAGUCAGCCUUGGAAUCUUGGCUUGAUGAAGCUCCUGCUGAGCCACUUGUUCAGAAUUCGUCGCAGGCAUCAUCUGCCAGAGUUGCUUUUACCAAUCGCAGCUUUGAGCGAAAACCUAAAUUGCAUACACUGUUGGACUCAUCUGACAGUAAUGGCUUAAGUGUUUUAUAUGCCUUCUCAUCUGAGGUUUCGCCCAGAUCACGCUUGCUAGUAUGUGUAGACUUAUAUUUGGAGAAUGUUACUACACAACACUUGACAGAUAUAACCAUUAAAUCUGAGGAGGCUUCUAGCAGCGUGGAUUCUACAGGCCAAACAUUGGAAGGAUCUGUGAGGUAUGUAUCAUCUUCAUCUGUUAUUCAACUAUUUCUGUGGCAGCAUUCACAUGGCCAGAUGUUAUGGUGACAUUGUUAUAUUGAUUUGGUUAUCAUCUUUUUAAUGGAAAAUGAUUUUCCACUACUCGUAUAUCCAAACAAUCAUCGGUAACCAACACCUGUAUACAAAACAGCAAGACUUAUAUUAUUUCUCAGCCCAUUUAUGGUAUUUUCACCUGCAGUGCCCCCACUAUUGUUCCUGUGGAAGAGAUACAUUCAUUGGCUCCACAACAAACGGCCAAGAUGGUUCUUGAAGUCCAUUUCCAUCACCAUCUCUUGCCUCUAAAGCUGUAUGUGCUUUGCAAUGGGAAAACACAUCCAGCAAAACUUCAUCCAGAUAUUGCUUAUUUUGUUCGGCCACUACCUAUGGACCUAAAUGCUUUCCUAUGCAAGGAAAACCAGUUAAGGGGAAUGUUCGAGUAUGCUAGGAGGUCAGUGAAGUUCCACCUCGUUUAAUAUGAAAUUAGGUUCCCCUGUCGAUGAUGUGUGCUGAAACUAAUCUGAUGAAUUUGCAACAGGUGCACAUUCAAAGAUCAUCUUGAGAAGCUAGAGCACAGUGAUAAGAACCUUCAAGUAGCCCAGAGUGUUGCAUCAAAAAUACUGAGCAACGCCAACGUGCACCUUGUUUCAAUGGAUAUGCCAGUUACCUUCAAUGUUGACGACACAUCUGGCUUAUGCUGGAGAUUCAGCAGUGAAAUCCCGAGCACUUUGAAACCUUGCCUAAUUACGAUCCUUGCGGAAGGGCAUGCCUCGGGGCCACUGGAACUUACUGCUAAGGUGAAUUCUGAAGAUACGGUGUUUGCCCUGAACCUCCUGAACAGAAUUGUGGCAAUCAUAGAGGCGUUAACUUUUUAGCUUUUUGAGCUUUCAGUUUGUGUCCGCACAGUAAAAUUGCCAAGGGUAUAGAGUAGCACAAAACAAAUCAUCAUUGAAGAAAUUGGUCGUGAAUAUCUCCCAGGGAGGCGAUACAAUGUCUUCUUGUAAAAAAAAAAGACAUGUUUUUGUAAGAUCUAUUGAGAAUUGUAAUUCGUGACAUCUAAUGUAAGCUGCCUGGGGGUGGAUACAACGUCCUGUUGUAAAAACGACCCUUUUUUUUUUGGCAAGAUCUGAGACAAGCAUGGCUACUGAGAAUUGCAAUUCAUGACAUCCAAUGUAAGCUCUGUCUACAUGAUUUAGUGAGGCACAACAGUGUUUCAAAAUUCCAUAGCUGUCUGUCUACAUAAUUUGCUUGACUUAAUAGUUGCAAACUUACAACACCUAUUUUCUCAUUGAAACAGAAACCUCGCAUUCCUGAAACGGCUUUAAAAAAUGUUGUGAUGAUCUACACGUACUCCAGUCCUGCCAUCAAGCAGGUACGAGGCUGGGCUCUGAGGGCGAAGAUUCAAGAAGCGGAUUCUUCUGGAAUUCAUUUCUCAGCUGACCACAGGCUGCGUUAGCAUCUAGCCCCCGGGUCUGUCGAACACUGACAGUUAUCUUCCGUGCUUCUAAUGCAUCAACAAACGCUUGAACCUAUGCAGUUUGCCAACAUAAACAUCAGUAACUCGCUUUUGAAGAAAGUUUCUUUCCAAAGGUGCUGCGCCUGAGACCGAGGAAACAUACCACUUUUCUGUAUGGCCUCUUGUAUUCAGAGCCUUCAAUUGGAUUAUAGGGAAUUAGGUUCACAUGAUAACCACCUCCACAUGUAUGAAGCAGUUCUGCAAGUUCUUCGGCGUGCUCCUUUUCAUCAUUGAUCCCAGCUGGUCACAAAAGUCACUUCAUCCAUAUUAGCACGAAAAGAAGGUACAGAAUAGAUAGACAAUAAACACAGUUCAACAAUAUUUUCUCCAAAAACAGAUGGGUACAGUGAAGGCACGGUCAGAGUACCUAGCAGAGUGUACUCGAAGGAUACCCUGCGUCCAGUUUCAAGGAAGUAACUCUUGCAGUCAUCCAUUAGUGCUCCCAAGGGGUAAGACUUUGCGCUAGGAACAAUUGUUUCGCGCAGCUUCUGGUUCGGGGCAUGCAGGCUGAUUUACGAUAUGACAGACUGGUCAGCAAGAAAUUACAGAAACAGAGCAGCAUGUGUUUCCUAGUCCUAUCUCCUAUGCGUUUGAGAAAACAUUGUUCAGCUAAAACUUUGUGGUGCCAAAACUUUCAGUCAAAUACAAUUGGCUUCAGAGUUUCGAAAAUGUUAGCUGGGAAACAAUGAAGUGUGGCGAAUGCGAAGUCAGGUUUAGAUUCUUAAUGAUGAUGUACCUCACUGCCAGUGUUGACUGAAGCUUGUGAGAUGCUAGCAUUUUUAUUGUGUUGGGAACACCUACUGUGGAGAUUGUCAUCAUCCUUUGCCCAAUUUUGAGUUCCUGAAAGUAGAAAAGCUCAUGUUGGCGAUACAGAGCAGAAGGAAGACAGCCUAGUUACUUGUCAGCAGACCUUAUUGAAACACCUGUGUGCUUCUAGAACUGACUUGAGGUUCAACAUGGGCUCGCCCAUCCCCAUGAAAACAACAUUUGUGACCCUGUGUUUGAACAUCUCCUCGAUGGCCAACACCUGCAAUGGCGGAGCAUUAAUAUCGUAAUACGCAGCAGAGUCACGAUUGGAGAUAAAGAGGGAGAAAGCAGGUUGGUGAAGAGAGGGAACCUGUUCAACAAUCUCAUGUGGUCGAAGGUUCCUGGCGAAGCCUCCCUUGCCCGUGGCACAGAAUGAGCAACGCAAGGGGCAGCCAACCUGUAUGUUAUGCAUUACACGAGUGUGAAAAGCAAGAAACCUGUAUGUUAAGAAUGGAGGUUGCAGUUCCACAGGCGCACAGCACCUGUGAUGAAACACAGGCAGUGAGCCUAGAAGAGCCUUUGCUGUCAUCAUCGACAGGAAUCCCUACUGUCUCGAUCAAGCGGUUAUCCUCCAACUUGAGAAGUAUCUACAAGGACGAAGAUCGAGAAGAGUGAUGAGCGCCCAGGUUGGGCUACACAUGCGAAGGAGAGCAAUUGCAGGCACCGUACCUUGGUAGUGCCAUCCGAGGCAGUGACGGCAUGGUGCACCGGCGAGCGGCCAACGGUCCAGCCAGCGCCGAGCAGCGCCUCCCGGAACGCCUUGGGCACUGCGGAAAGGCAGCAAAAACAAAAACAGUGGGGUUGUUUUGUUGCAGGGAAUCAAAAGAACGAACAGCUGGCGUGCAUCGUGAAUCCCUGACCGUAGUUGAAGUCUUGGAUUUGGCUGGCCCUGGACUUGUAGAGGAGGUCGUGCAGCUGCUUCCCCCUGUAGCUUUGCUGCGAGAGUGGACGACGAUGGUGACGGGCCGGGGAAGCUAAUAAGGCACAGGUGCAGUGGUGGAGAAGCAAGUACCUGGCCGAGGUCGAGGGCGAGCUGGCGGAGCUCAGGCUCUGAGAGGCCGAGUAGCGCGCGGCGAGAAGUCACCCCCUGAGAUUGAGACUUGGGCGGCGCGGCGGCGGCGGUGGCGGUGGCGGUGGCGGUGGCGCGCGCGCGGAGGGCGCGGGCGAGAGGGGCCGCGCGGACGUGCUGCGGCGCGGCGGCCAUUUCCUUGUUCGCGUUCGUUGUGUGGGGGGAUUGGAUUACAAGACAAACCAAGAUAUUUCCCUUUCUUCUCUAUCUAUCCACUUGGGAACGGGCCGGGCCGGGCCUUCUCCCCGCUAUGCUCGUUAGCAGCUGGGCCGGGCUGCUUCAAAAGUGAAUUGAGAAGAAAACAAACUUGAUUGGGAUUGGCAAAACAAAACGAUCGAAUUCCGUCAAUAAAUUAAUUAUUAAUUCAGAAGCGCGCACCAUUUAGUAUAGCACAUGUUUUUCGUUUGUGCCAGUCCCUCCGGAGGUUCCGGAGUUGAGCGUGGAAUUUUAAAUUUUGAUAUGAUACCUAGCUUCAACCAUGGUUUUUUAUCCUUCCUACUCCAUCUGGAGCUGUUGGAGGGGUCUAUGAAUUUUUAAUUUUCAUACGAUAUCUGGUAUCAACUAUAACCUAUAGCAGAUGUUUUUCAUCAGUACUAAUCCGUCCGGAGCUAUUGGAGGUGAGUGUGGAAUUUUAAUUUUCAUAUUAUAUCUGGUUUGAAUCAUGACUUACAUAUUUUUCGCCCUUUCUACUCCAUCCGGAGCCGAUAGAAGUGACUUUGGAUUUUUAAUUUUCAUACGACAUAUAGCCUCAACCAUGACCCAUAGCAUAUGUUUUUCGUCAUUCCUACUGCAUCCGGAGUUGAUGGAGGUGUUCGUGGUUUUUUAAUUUCCAGAGGAUAUCUAGCCUCGACCAUGACCUAUAGCACACGUUUUUCGUCCGCCCUAGUCCCUCCGGAGCUUCAGGAGUUGAGUGUGGAAUUUAAAUUUUCAAAUGAUAUCCAGCCUCAACCAUGACCUAUAAAACAUGGUUUUCAUCCUUCCUAGUCCAUCCGGAGUUGGUGGAGGUAUCUGUGGUUUUUUAAUUUUCAUACGAUAUUUAGCCUCAACCAUGACGUAGAGCACAUGUUUUUCGUCCGUCCUAAUCCCUCCAGAGCUAUUAGAGGUGCAUGUGGAAUUUUAUUUUCAUAUGAUAUCUGGUCUCAAUCAUGACCUAUAGCAUAUGGUUUUCAUCCUUCCUACUCCAUCCAGAGGUGGUAGAGGUGUCUGUCGAUUUUUUUAUUUUCAUACGAUAUAUGACCUCAACAAUGAUCUAUAGCACAUGUUUUUCAUCCUUCCUACUGCAUCCGGAGCUAAUUGAGGUGUCCAUGGUUUUUUAAUUUCCAGAGGAUAUCUGACCUCGACCAUGAUCUAUAGCAUAUGUUUUUCAUCCGUCCUAGUGCCUCCGGAGCUUCUAGAGUUGAGUGUGGAAUUUAAAUUUUCACAUGAUAUCUGGCCUCAACCAUGACCUCUAGCACAUGGUUUUCGUCCUUCCUAGUCCAUUCGCAAGUACCAGGGGUGUCCACGCAUUUUUAAUUUUCAGAGAUAUUUGGCAUCAACCAUGACCUAUAGCACUUGCUUAUUGUCCUUCCUACUCCAUCUAGAGCUGGUGGAGGUGUUUAUAGAUUUUUAAUUUUCAUACGAUAUCUGACCUCAACCAUAACCUAUAGCACAUAUUUUUGUCCGUCCUAGUCCCUUCAGAGCUUUUGCAGUUGAGUGUGGAAUUUAAGUUUUCAUAUGAUAUCUGGCCUCAACCAUGACUUAUUGGACAUAUUUUUCGCCCUUUCUACUCCAUCCGGAGCCAGUAGAGGUGUCUUUGGAUUUUUAAUUUUCAUACGAUAUAUGGCCUCAACCACGACAUAUAGCAUAUGUUUUUCGUCAUUCCUACUGCAUCCAGAGCUGAUGGAGGUGUCCGUCGUUUUUUAAUUUUCAGUGGAACUCUGGCCUCGAGCAUGACCUAUAGCACAUGUUUUCCAUCCGUCCUAGUCCCUUCGGAGCUUCUGGAGUUAAGUGUGGAAUUUAAAUUUUCAUAUGAUAUCUGCCCUCAAACAUGACCUAUAGCACAUGGUUUUCGUCCUUCCUACUCCAUCCGGAGCUGGUGGAGGUAUCUAUGGAUUUUUAAUUUUCAUACAAUAUCUGGCCUCAACCAUGACCUAUAGCACAUGUUGAUCGUCCGUCCUAAUCCCUCCGAAGCUAUUGGAGGUGAGUGUGAAAUUUUAAUUUUCAUAUGAUAUCUGGCCUCAACCAUGACCUAUAGCACAUGGUUUUUGUCCUUUCUACUCCAUCCGGAGCUAGUGGAGGUGUCUGUGGAUUAUUUAUUUUCAUAUGAUAUAUGACCUCAACCAUGACCUAUAGCACAUGUUUUUUAUCCUUCCUACUGCAUCCAGAGCUGAUGGAGGUGUCCAUGGUUUUUUUUAUUUCCAGAGGAUAUCUGGCUUCGACCAUGACCUAUAGCACAUUUUUUUUCGUCCGUCCGAGUCCCUCCGGAGCUUCUAGAGUUGAGUGUGGAAUUUAAAUUUUCAUAAAAUAUCUGACCCCAAAUAUGACCUAUAGCACAUGAUUUUUCUCCUUUCCUAGUCCAUUCGCAAGUACCAGGGGUGUCCGUGCAUUUUUUAUUUUGAGAGAUAUUUGGCGUCAACCAUGAUCUAUAGUACUUGCUUAUUGUCAUACAUAUAUGGCCUCAACUAUGACCUAUAGCGUAUGUUUUUCGUCCUUUCUACGAUAUGGAGAGCUGACGGAGAUGUCCGUGAUUUUUUAAUUUUCAGUGGAUAUCUGAUCUCGACCGUGACCUAUAAUAUACCAUGACCUAUAAUAUAUGCAAAGAGGAAUGCAAGCAGGAACGGCUGGCGGAGCGGUGAGGCUGACAGCCGGCGCCCCGGCCUCCUGGUUGUUGCAUGAUGAUGGUAGCAUAUAUUGCUUGCUGCUGCUUCUGAUGAUGGCAUCGUCCUGCAGCUACUGCAUCGUCCUUGUGGCCCUGGAAUCCUUGCUGGUUUAGCUUCUUGACGGCGAUGACGAUUCCGGUGCCGGGCCUGGCGGGGGCAAAGGUCCUGUCGUCGAUCCAUCCUUUGAAGACGCUGUCGGGGCGGAGAUCCUCAGCUCGCUGAAGGUGAAGCUCCGAACCUUGGCGGACUGCAAGAUGUCGCCCUCGCUGCGACUGCUACCGCGAGUGGUGGUGGUGGGAUCAUCGUCAGCCACCGCCACCGAGAUGAUGGAUGGCGCCGCCGCCGCCGCGGAGAUCACGUACACGGCUCUUCUGCUUGGUGGUCCUGAUCCCCCUCACCCAGCAGCAGCAGUUGCUACCCUACCACUACCAGUGUAUACAUAUGCACUAGUUGGCCGCCGGGUAGAGUGUGAACUCUGCAUGCCUGUCCGUAUAUACUACUAGUACUCGGCCAUGCGGUGGUUGUGCUCGAGAACAUCCGGCCCCGGCCUUUUGACUUAAGCUGAUGCUCGGGAUGAGUCAAUGCAAGGACGAAGGAUGCUCGGGAUUAUACUGGGUCGGACAAUCGUCCUACGUCUAGUUGCUCCAGUUGGGUUUGCUGAGUCGCUCUACAUGAAAGGGUGAAUAGGCGUAACCUGAAAUUACGCUUAAUAAAAUGGCUGGAGGGAGAGAGGGGGAGGGAGGGGAAUAAAGUGGCUGGGGAGGGAAGGGAAGAAGAUAACACUGAUACGUGGAUCUUAUUGCCAUGUGUCGUCCACAUCAGCAAUAUAAUCAACCAAAAUCAUCAGAUGGUAAAACACGAACAAUUUUGAUGUGGUCAAAGAUUAUGAUUUUCGAGUUUGGCGGUGGAAAGGCAAACCGAAUCACUCGUUGGAUAUUCAAAAAUGAAAAAAAAAAGACAAGAAGGAUUAUCGCAGGAGCAACAAUUGAUAUUGGCACCCAGACAAAGGGGAUCAGCUGCCUUUAUCCCGUGGUCCUACAAAAUCGACCACCCGCCUCCAUAAUUAAGUUCCUGUUAAUUUCCGAUUACAGCUGGCUGGCCUGAUUAGCUAAUUAAGGCUCUUCUGUGCUCAAUUAUUUGGUAUCCAGACAAUCAAUACUUGAUCGAGCUCGUGAUGCCAUUACAUGUGACUAGUGCUGCUACUUAGGUCUGUUUGGUUCUAUAGGACUAAGGUUUAGUUUCUCCCUUUUAGCUUCUUUUAGUUCUUAAACUUCCAAACAGAGAGACUAAAGGGAUUAGUUCUUUGAUCCUUUAGUCACGGGAGACUAAAGGGGACUUAGGAGGACACCCCCUGCCCCCGCAGCGUGUGAUGUAAAUUUUGUGCAUUGAUUAGAGAUUUUUUGAUUUUAGUGACCUUUAGUCUUUGGAUCCAACCAGGUAGGGACUAAAGCAGUAUUUAUCUAAUGGUCACCGGGCAGCAGCAGAAAAAUCGAAAAUAAACAGUGUCUUGAGCCCCAAGAAAGCACUAUCUAGCUGGAUCCGAAGCAACGAGGAGGAAAGACGAAACCAAGCUAAUGACUCGACUAAUCAUGCCCACAUGUACUAAUCACACGUUAAUUACUGUAUCCUAAUGAAAACUGGUACAAGGAAGGCGGCGCGGAUGAGACGGGGAUUCGAAACUUCCCGCUCCCCUUCCCUACCGCCUAACAAUUAUAUAAUAAAUAUAUAAGAGGAAGGGGAGGCGACCUCACCUGUCACCUCCUUUUUCUCUUCUUCUCCGCGUUGCGUUGGCUUUUCUCCUCCGUUUUUUUUUUGUGUGUUCCUCCAAUUCAUUCCCCACCCACCCCUCCCCCUCCCCCUCCCCCCAAUUCGAUUCCGUUCAAUUCAAUUCCCCCACCGUCGGAGGGGAGAGAGUCGGAUAUGAUGCUGGUCGCCAAGGAGUUCGCCCUCUCGCCGCCCGCUGCGGUCGCGCCGCGCCGGAGGGCCUCCGCCAGGGUCGCGCCGCACGCCGGAGGUGGCUCGCCGGUGCCCGACCUCUGGCUGCGCACCGCUGCCCCCGCCGCUGACGGCUUCGCCUUCGGGAGCCACAGCCACGACAGCGACAUGGAUUUGGCCAUGCUCGUCACCGACUUCCUCGAGAACGGCGGCAGCGCCGGCGGGGACUCGCGCGCCAGCAGCGACAGCGACUCCGGACUCUCCGACCUCGCCCACCUCGCAGAUAACAUCGCGGUACCUUGCACCUCUCUGCUCCUGCACCGACCUGCGGUGUUUCCAUUAUUUUCUUUUUAUUCCCGAUCAAAGCUUUUAACUAAGGAGUAGGUGGCUAGGUGCUAAUUAAUUUACUAGGCAAAUCAAUUCCUCCUUUCUCAUAUUAUUAUUAGUGAUGAUAUCAAUUGUGGUGGCUUGUGCUAUGAGAUUGCUUUCCUGGAUCGCCAAGCUACGAAACAAAAGGUAGGUUAUGUUUUGCUCCCAGUUGGCCUGUUUUGCUCGUGUCCCUUUGGUAUGCGUCCCUAGUCCUUUUAGCCAUAGUAUGUAUGCACAUGAUCAGAUUAGUACUGUUGGGUGCCCGCAUAGACUGCAAUAACUUACAUUCCAUGCACCCUGUUUCAGAUGCUCAAGCAAGGAGGAGAUGAGAAGGAAAAUGAGCUGCUCUCCAUGGUCCACUCCCUACUCUUCUCUAUCCAUGAGUCGGAGCUUGAGCCUUUUAAAAGAGGUCAAUGCAGUGGCGGUUGCAUCCGCCACCUACUUGUCAAGCUCUUGAGAUACUCGGGGUAUGAUGCAGCAGUCUGCACAUCCAAAUGGCAGGGGUUUGACAAGAUACCUGGAGGUACCUAUGCUUCAUACCGAGAGUCCUUCCUUAAUCUGCUCUACAAAUCAAGCUGUGUGGCUAAACUGUUUUGUGUUUUCCCAAUCAGGUGACCAUGAGUACAUUGAUGUCCUAACGCAUGGCGAUGCUACUGGGCCAGAGCGUCUGAUAGUUGACAUCGACUUCAGGAGCCACUUUGAAAUUGCCAGGGCAGUUGACUCUUAUGGGACUCUGUUGAAUUCGCUCCCAGUGGUGUAUGUUGGCACCCUUCCACGGCUGAAGCAGUUCCUGCAUGUCAUGGUAGAUGCUGCAAAAUGGUCCCUGAAGCAGAACUCUAUGCCGCUUCCUCCUUGGAGAUCCUUGCCUUACCUCCAGUCGAAAUGGCAGUCCAAGUAUGAGAGGAAAGACUUGAUUACUGAGCAAGGCUUCCACAGCACAGCAUCGGACCAUGCGCUGUGCAUUGGACACCUGAAGAGGCUGAAAACUUCCCUCCAGUCAGAGCUCGAAACCGGAAGAUUGCUGAUGAUGCCGAUCAAGGCUGACAAGAAGAGGACGCCAAAGUUUGAGAGGAGGCGGCGGCGGCGUUCCCUUCUCAGUUGUUGAUGCAGAUUUGUGUUCCCUGGAUACAGAAGAAUACUGAGGAUAAGGAGCAGUAGGUUGCUGCUGGGCAAUUUUGGUUUCCCAGAAAAGGGAGAAAUGGGGCUCUUUUACAGAUAAGGUGAAAUGGGAGGUGGAUACUAACAGGCCAUUUUAGUGCCAGGUUUUUUGAAGGCACAUAAGAAAAAGACAAGAAUUAUUUUGUUGGUUUUGGUUUUUGUUGAUUCGGCGAGGCUGGGCAUGCUAGUGGUGAACCUGCUGCAUACCAUGUACAAUUGUGAGUUACACUACAGAAUCAAAAUUUUCCCCUUUUUAUUGAUUUUCUAGAGAUACAGCUGUUCCCCUUCUCCUUUGGAGCACACUUUGUUUGUUUCCCACAUUGUAAUUGUAACCGUAGGAUGUGCAAGUUGAGUUGCACCUGUUGAAAAGUAUAUGUUUCGGUUCAUUUGGUUUUAGAGAAUACAGUAUUGUUUCCAUUACACAAGGCUCCGUCUGUGUGUUUGUAAAUUGAUGUCUUAUGUCUUAUGCCUGGACUAGUGGAGCCUUUAAUUUUGCACGAAAGGAAAGGAGGGCUUGUGAUAUGAUGAAGAAAGAAGGAACAUGAGCACGUGUAAAGCAUGCAGGUACUGUGGCAUGGUGUGGACCGAUGCAUGACAAUGGACAAAGUGUUGUGCCGGCCCCUUUUUGAAUGUGGCACUUGUCAAUCAGUUUCAGUUGAUGAUGUCUUUGGUUGGCUAAGCAAAAGAAAACAAGUCUCUUGGAGGUGAGGAUCACAUGGCAUGCCUGCAUGUUUUUUUUCUUGGAUCCAUUGAUAGUUGUAAGACAGCACACGCUGGAAGGAAGUAGGACGGACGUACAGUACAGGGGGUAAAAAGAAAAAGGAAAAAAAAACAUGCUGAUGGGGUGAGAGAGGCUCGAACUCUCGACCUCAGGAUCACUCGCUUUAGCUAUGAGACCUACGCGCUAACCAACUGCGCCACCACCCCGUCACGCUCUUGCAGAUUUGUGUCUCGUAUUGUUCUUAGUCUCUGGUAUUUAGAAUAUACUAUAACAACUUAACUAAAGACCGAAAUUAACUAAUGAGAUGGUUAAGCCAUUGUGUUCUUUGAGAGCUGAGAUGCUUGGGUGGUGGGCCCCGGGUGUCGACGAGCAGAUGUGCUUGGGCUGGGUGGGGUGGGUCGGAGGCCGCCCUUCCCUUCUUCUUUUGCUCUCCCAUUCCGAUUCCGAUUCCGAUUCCAAUUCUUCUUCCUCCUCCUCCUCCUAACAACCUUGGAUUGGAUUCACAUCAUCAAUCAAUCCUCUUUGAUUUUUGCCGCAGGAAGGAUGAUGAUGCCCAUGCCCAUGCCCUCGUCGUCGUCGUCGUCGCCGUCUAUGGCCGCCGCCGCCACCAAAUCUCCCCUCCUCCCUCCCCCAUUCCUCUCCGCCUCUCCCCGCCCGCACCUCCGCGCCGCCUUCCUCGCCCUCAGACCCCGCCGCGUUCCGCUGCUCGCCACGCCCGCCCCGGAUGCCACGCCCGCACCGGACGCCACCACCACCAACAACCCCUUCGCCGCGCUCGUCGACGCCCCCCGCACGCUGUGGCGCCGCACCCUCCAGCCCCUGGGGGACUACGGCUUCGGCAAGCGCAGCGUCUGGGAGGGCGGCGUCGGCCUCUUCAUGGUCUCCGGGGCCGCGCUCCUCGCCCUCGCCCUCGCCUGGCUCAGGGGAUUCCAGCUCCGCUCCCGAUUCCGCAAGUACAACACCGUCUUCGAGUUCACGCAGGCCUGCGGGAUCUGCGUCGGCACGCCCGUACGCAUACGAGGGGUCACCGUCGGAUCCGUCGUCCGCGUCGACUCAUCCCUAAGGAGCAUCGAUGCGCUAGUCGAGGUCCCUCUCCCUCUAUUGCUUUGUUCCUUUGCACUAGUAAUUCAUACUCCCUCUUCAUAAGCUACUACAACCUGAAUGUCCAACCUCCACCACUAAUACCCUAACUUAAUCGUCUCAAUCUCUCUCCAUUUCCAUCGCUAAUCCCCUAAGUUUGUCAUCGUGGCAGGUCGAAGAUGAUAAAAUCAUUAUACCACGCAAUUCACUGGUUGAGGUCAAUCAGUCUGGUCUUCUAAUGGAGACACUCAUUGAUAUCACACCAAAGGAUCCACUCCCCGCACCUUCAGUAGGGCCACUUCACCCAGACUGUGCCAAAGAAGGCUUGAUUCUCUGUGACAAACAGAGGAUCAAAGGACAGCAAGGAGUAAGCUUAGAUGCCAUGGUCGGAAUAUUUACCCGUCUAGGAAGAGACAUGGAGGAAAUUGGUGUUAGCAAAAGCUAUAAGUUGGCUGAAAAAGUUGCAUCCAUAAUGGAAGAGGCACAACCUCUUCUUACACGGGUACAAAUUCUUCUCUCCAUUCUUCCCCAUAACAGUUUGCAAGCCUGCUUACCUUGUUGGAAUGCCUGUGGAACCAAUUCUUUCAGCCAAUACUGCUAAAUAGGCUUCAUUCUGCACGGCUUUCAUAACCUUUCCCAACAUGCCUCAUGUGCAAUUCAUUGUUCACCAAAAUAGAUUCCCACUUCCACUUAUUCGCCUUGGCACACUACUAGAUAUCCCAAAUACCAGCGUGGCUGAGGUAGAAAUAGUACAGCUCGCCCAUGCUUACAGUGAGACUUGAGCUGGACUGCUGAGAUCGGGUUCCCUAUGCAGCAUACCUUCCCAGUUGGCAUGUUUACUUGCCUCUGCUUUAUGAGUAAUAGUGAACAGGAGGGGACCUCAACGUAGUUGGAGUGUGGUGUUAGCUUAUUCUUCUUUAUGUUGUAUGCUUUUGAAAAAAUGGGUGGAGCGUCGUGCUUCCUCCAUAUAGUAUGCGGAUUUUAUUCUGUCUGCUAAACAGGGUUUUGGAAGCUAAUUGUGUUGUUAGAUGUGAUAUGCAUGGAAUUAAUGCUAGUUAUGGAACAACAGAUUGAGGCCUUAGCUGAAGAAAUCCAGCCUAUGCUCUCUGAGGUUCGUGGUAGCGAUCUGCUCAAGGAUGUGGAGACUAUAGCUAAAGGCCUGGCUGAUGCGUCUGGUGACUUGAGGUACUACUGCCUGGAAAGCACAAUGAUGCAAAAAUUCCUAUUUUCCUUUGAUGAUAGGGUGGACACUUGAUAAUUUCUUUUCGUUGGCACUGUCCUGCAGGAGGCUCAAGUCGUCCAUGCUAACCCCAGAGAACACAGAUCUCAUUAAGCAGUCUAUUUUCACCCUUAUAUUUACGCUCAAGAACAUCGAGGUAUGUGCUUUUGACACACCCAACAAUUUUUGUGGUAUCUGUUUCUCGAACUGAACAAGAGGUUGACGUGCCCCUUACCUUGGUUAAAAUUCAGAGUAUCAGCUCGGACAUCUCUGGCUUCACGGGUGAUGAGACGACACGGCGGAACAUCAAGCUUCUGAUCAAGUCUCUUAGCAGGCUAUUGUGAUUGGUUUUGGAUUGGAUGGUGAUUGCUGGAAACGGGGGGUUUGAUGUUGGUAGAGUAGGGCGGCUGGCUGUCUUGACUGAGGUAGGAAGAAGUGAAGGAAUAGCUAAUUAGAGCAUCUCCAACAAAAUUGCCAUCCCACUCUCCAAGCCAAAAUUUGGUAAGUUAAAUGGAGAGCCAAAAAUGGAUAGUCAGUUGGAGUUGCUCUUAGUGUUCCUCAAGGUUUUGGUUGUUCUUGUUGCAAGUUUACCAAACAGUCUAAAAUUCAAUCCGAAUUUCCAAAAAAAAAAAGGAGCAAGCGUGAGGAGAAAUCUCCCUACUUGCUGAGCUGUUAGGCCCAUUUUUUGGUGUUGACUCGGCCGAUCGUCCUUUGUUGGCUGGGCCAACGUGUAACGAAGUGAAGAAAUACACGAUAUUUUCUUGUGUUUGCCCCACCGCGUGCAUGUCUCGCUGUUAUGAUUAUUGAUGAAAAGCUUUGUUGUUAUGAUUAUGAUUAUUGGUGGUGCCAACAAAUAAAGCUGGCAUGCAUGCAGUGAUCCGAGUUUGUUGGAGGCUGAGCUGCUGAACUGGUCGCGUCUGGGAUUGGUCGGCAUGGACUGGUUGGCAGGCAUCUCGAACUCGAUCGAUCCGGGGUCUGUUCGCUUCAGCUUAUUGAGCCGGCUUAUCAGCCACCAAACAGUAUUUUCCUCUCACAACAAAUCAGCCGUUUCAGCUUUUCAGCCGGCUUAUAAGCUGAAGCGAACAGGCCGCCGAUAGAUGAGAAGACCGUUCCUUACCAUUAAAUAUAUUAUUAUAUGAUAGUCAAGUCAAGCUAUAUAUAUGUGUGUGUCUCUCCAAGGAGUAUAUCGAUCGAGCAACCAGAUCGAAGACGAGCAAUGCCUCACGGUGGCUUCUCCGGCAGGCUGACGUCGCCCAAAUUGGGCUUGGCCGUGGACAUGGGCCAUCCCUUCCUCAACCACGCCGUCGACGGCUUCAUCAAGAUCGGCGCCGUAAAGCAGUCAAAUAAUUCUAUUCCAUGUCGAUCUGCAAUUUUAUACUCCAUCUCAAAUUGUCGGUCUCAUUUUAGCUUUCCUAAAUUUAUAAUUUUUAUUAUGCAGGAUGCGUAGCAUAAUCUAUGAAUUAAAAAAAAGUCAAAACAACCUAAAAUUUAGGAUAGAAGAAGUAUAACAUAUAAUAAUAAUAAUGCAUAUCUAUUGUAUAUUGCAGGUGAGUGCUUGCAAGGUGGCCGCCGAGGAGUCCUUUGAGUGCCUCCACAGAGGUAUCGCAUCAAUCGCUAGCUAGGAUUUCAAUUAAUUUCUCCGAUCCAUAAGCCCCGCCCCGCCUGCCCUUUGUUCAUUCGAAUUCGUCAUGCAGGAGAUGUUUCCAAGCACAAAGUCGAGCAUGCUGUAAGUUGAUACAUACAAUUCAUUCCAUUUAGCUAUGUAUAAUACAUACCUUGCCAAGCAAAUAUGAUAUAAUCAAGUGGAUCGUCUAUGCAUGCAUAUGCAGCUCAAGAAAAUGUGCAAGGAAGGCGCGUAUUGGGGUAUGCUGCUGCCUGUAAUUAAUACAAAUGUUGCAUCUAUAUAAUUAUAUAUUAUAUCUGUAUAUGUAUGUUCAUCAGGAACCAUUGCUGGUGUAUACGUGGGCGUGGAGUACGGAAUCGACAAGAUCCGUGGCCACAGGGACUGGGUGGGUAUUCGCUACUAGCUAGCACUACAGUGUACAGAUCCAAUUUGCGAAAAAGUUUACAGAUGAAUGAAUAUAAUGUUGCAUUGCAGAAGAACGCGAUGCUUGGAGGAGCCGUGACGGGAGCCUUGGUCUCUGCCGUCAACAACAACCAGCGGCACAAGGUGGUCAAGAACGCCAUCACCGGUGGAGCCAUUGCAACCGCCGCGGAGUUGCUCACCAACCUCACCUCUUGAUCCCCUUCGUUCCAGCAUUGCAUUGCAUCGACAGACCGGCAAGAAUAAUAAGCAAAGGCCAUAUAUAUGUACUGAUGCAUCCUCAGAGUCUCGUCUCCAUCCAAGCCGUGUGUGCAUUAUUAUACAGUAUAUAUAAGUGUUUGGACAGGAAUAAAAUCGUUUUCCAUUUCUUUAUCCAUGCCCCCAAAUAUAUAUUUCCUUAUACCGACACUUGAGCUGCUCCAGUACCGAUUCGAACCCAACUGAUUCCGCUUGUGUGGAGUUUGGUUCGUGGUCUCUAGUGCUUCUUAUGUGCUGUUUGUUUCCGCUUCUCACAGCCAUACUUGACUAUAAUCUAAACGAAGAUUUUCUCACUUCUCGCUUUUUGCUUCUCGUAGUUCAAUUCUUUGAAGCGGCUUACCAUGCAAGGGAGAAUCUAGGAAAAUAAGUAAGACAUUUGGUGGGAUUCUCGCUUAUUUUCAUCGAUAAGCCGCUUAUAAGCGGAAACAAACAGUGCCUUAGCCUUUGAAUCGUUUCAGGACUACCUUGAAAAGUACAACAUUUCCAAAUUCCGGUGGAGUUUUUGCCAAAAGUAUUAUGUAUACAUCAUGUUUUGGGCAUAUAUACGUACUGCAACUAGUUUGUUGAUAGUCUUUUAGACUUUCGACAGAUUUUUAGGCUAGUGGGUGAGUUAUAACUCAUUUUUCUCGAUUUUACUAGUAAUUCCGUUUUGUUGGAAGAGUGUGUUUUAGAGAAUAUUUGGCCUAAAGUAUGAGGUAUUGCUCAUGUCUUUGGCCACCCCAGUUGUUCUGGGAUUACUAGAAUAGCAGCACCAGCACGAGACUUUCCAAAAUUUGAUGGAUUUUUGCCCAAAACAUAAGUUAUAGCUCAAUUUUUUUUUUUACAUUAUUUGUCUUUGUUACUAUGACAUUGGAUUUCUUUCGAUGUAUUUUUGCUCAUGUGGGUGAUAUACAACUUGUUUUAUUGGCAUACUAGUGUGUGAGCUAUUGCUCAUGUUUCUCGGCCUUUACUAGUCAUUCCAUGGUUACAAAAGGAGUUAGGAGUCUUGAAUUUCAAAGGAUAUUAGUCCUAAACCAUGAGCUAUAGAUAAUGCCUUUUUCCGGCCAUCCCUUUCGUUCCAGGAUUAUCAAAAUUGCACGAGGAUUUCCAAAUUUCGAUAGAUUUAAGCCCAGAGCCUUGGUAUAGCUCAUGUUUCUUGGCGUACUAUGUCCUAUUAGGCGUGACGUGACAUUGGAUUUGUCUUUCAAUGGUUUUUUGGGCGAACGGAUGAGCUAUGGCUCUUGUUUUUCAGCUUUCCUGACGUACUAUAUAAGGUUUGAUUUUAAUCAUCACAAAUUAUAUUUUCACAUUAGAUGUAACUAUUUUUAUUAACAUAAUAAGUUACAAUAGAUACUUACAGUCAACUGAUUCAUUGAUGAUCAUGUCGACUUUUAUGUUUGCGAUUAGAGGAGUCUAUACAUACACAGCGCGUGCUGUAUCAGUACUAUCGAAAUUUUAGCUUGGCUGAUGAGAAUGCAUAGCUAGGGAGCACGCAAAUGACGAUGACAAUCUCCAAUCCAUGUUUCUUUUUCAGGAUGUCUCAAUCGAUUGUUUCCAGGAUGUCCACGGCAGCAAGGGCAGCCCACCCCUGAGCCCUGACCAAAUGCUCCACCAACCAAAUGCUCCACCCAGUGCAAGACUGUCACCAAUUCAGCAUACCAAAAUCACUGGCAAAUACUUGCAUAUAAGAGAUGAGGAAUUAAACAUCAUGUCCACUAUCCCCUUGUUUGGCCCCUACAUUCUCAUCCGACCUUGCAAUUGCACCAAAAACCACAACCACCAUUGCACAAUCAAGUUCGAUUCCAUAUGCACAAUCAAGUAUGAUUUGCACGUACGGUGCUCCUCGUUACAAUUAACCAACCAACCAACAUGACAGCUAGGACAGAGCUCCAAAUUAAUCUCUUCCACCCUACACAUUUACAUUGUUACUCCGCAAUACAAAUCUACACGCCUCUGGUCAGUUGCCAUAUAUGGAAAGGUAAAGGAGGGCAAACACACAGGAAAGGGAGACUGGCUACUUAUUGAACCGAGCAUGCUUCAAAAGAAAAAGUUGUGCUGCCCCGAUCUCAAUGGUUCAGCAUUACAAAAUUGUAGAGUCUCUUAACCUUUGGUAAUUCAUCCAGGUAGGUGUUUACCUGGCACAGUGACUCCCAUGAAAAGAUAUUCACCAAGUCUAGCAAAGAACGAAGAAAUUCAAAGGCCUGUACAUGCAUCCAGCCAAACCAGUAAUUUACAUGAUUCACAUUGCAUCUGUAAAAAUAUUAAAAAGAUAUAUUAGUGACCUCAUAACAAAGAACGCGUAUGGAGAGUACUAUUCUGGCAGCCUGGCAUAUUCUACACUAAAGAAGAGGGCACGCCUCUUCUUUCUAGAAGCAGCAUUAUAAAGUACACCAUAUCAAGUAGACUAAUUCUAGACUACAGGCAAAUCCACAUAUUGCAAUGGUGACAGAGAAUUAGUUUAGGAGGAUGCACCUUUUCUUAAUUUGGAGCAGAGGAAUGCAGUUUCAGAUUCUUCUGCAAUAAACACAGCCUAGAGUACUGCUAACUUAGAGCUUUAUCCAUUGAAAUGCCAAUAUGGCCUUAUCAUUGCACUCCUAGGUCAUUUGAUAACUGCAAUAUCCCACGCAUUUGAAGGUAUGGGUUCUCCAGAAGUUUCUCAUUGUUACACUGGCAACAACACAUACAACAGGUCAGCACCAACUUAAUUAAGUGACAGAAUACACAUGGAAUUAAAUUUCUUAAGAGGCUUGAGCUGCCUCAACAUGUCAGCAGGAACUAUUCAGAUUUCACCCCCACAAGAUGCAUAGCACUGUUCCUGUAAAUGUUUCAUAUUUCAACCCCACAAGAUGCAUAGGGCAGAAGACCUUAACCUGUUGAGCUUUUGAAAUGAGGCUUUGAAGCAUCCGCUGGUAGAUCUCUGGUUCCUCUGUCAUCAUUCUCUGUUCAUACAAACUUUGUUAGGGCAAAGCAGAGUAGAACCAUCAGCAAUCAAUCAGCAGUUGCCUCAGACAUACCUUCAGAAGAAAAGCAGCAGAAUAAUAUGCUACCCUUGAAUCCGUAUCAUCCAGAAGACCCCUGUUGGUUGAAUGGAUAUUAGACAUUACAACUUAGUCGGCCAAGGUAAUGUAGUAUAAAAGGAGGAUACCUGAAGAACUCAUUGCCUUCUACCUCCUUCAGUGCCUCCUGAUCAGCUGUGCAUUUACCAAUCAACAAUAAAAGGAGUGCUGCUCGAAUAUCUGAUGUAGCACCAGGGAGAUUACCUCUUCCUGUGCUACCAACAGCAAUACCUAAUGCAAUGUCAUCACUGGCUGCCCCUUCAAGCUGAAUCAAUGGCCAGAAAAACAAAGAAGUUGGUACACGGGCUACAAGUUGCAUGGGAGCUAUUGCGAGCCCUCUCAGAAGUAGUGCUGCCAUUGAUGCUUCGCAGAGUAAAGUGGAUUGAGCAGAUUGAUCCAUACUGAUAUCUUGCAAUGUCUCACUCCGGUAAAGAUUCUUGUUUCCAACACUUCGGUGUGAUGCAAGGGUUUCCAAAUGACUGUCAAUGUUUUUGGUUGUACAACCAAAAAGUUGACCAAGGGACUGGAGUCCCCCUGCAUGCAUCGCAUUUGUGGAAGGAAUUCUCAGGCAUAAUUGGGAGAACAGCAUGUCACACAUCUGAAAGAGGAAGGAGCAAAUCACAAAUAACCAAAUUUAGAAUAUUAGUAAAAUGCAGCACCUCAACUCUGUAUGAGAUCCGGAGGUAAUAGACCGAUUUGAAUAAGUUCAAUGGACUCCAAAUAAUGUUUUCUAAUUCUCAAUCGAUAAGAGCAGAAGGCUAGAAACUAGUAACUGGGAGCAGAACCAACUCAUACCUUGAACAAUUCCUAAUUUCGAUAAUCAAGAAAGCAUACGAUAUUACUUAUAUUUUAAAACGUAGCUGAUGGAACAUCGUUCUUUUUUGAAAAAUUUUAACAGUCAGUUUUAAGGCAACUACUGGUAAAUACGCAAACGAUGCCGACUUGUAUGUAUGCCAGAUGCGUGCACCAUAAUUGAAAGACAUUAAGGAAAUUACCUUUAAGAUGUUGAUAUGGUCAGUCUCAUUGUUUUGAACUACUAGUAAUAAAGCACUAUUCAUAAUGUCUAUAACCGCGAAAGCUUUAUCAAGACAGUUUUUGCUAUGAUCAGUAGCUGUGUGGUCUUGCAUAUCACUGUCAUCCAAUAAUAAUUUGCAGCGCAUCAGAAAUUUAUCCAGCACAUAUAGGAAUCCCCACCUAAUGAAGUUGUGUUUUGACUUCAGAAGCCCACAAAGCAUACAAACAGGCAGAGAAACUUCUGAACAUGAUAGAUCCUGGCUACCAGCAACUUCAAUUUCCUCUUGAAGCUUUUGGAUUUUAGACCAUAUAGAACCAUCUGUUUCUUCACUGAUUUCUGAAAGGAGCAAUUCAACUAACCAAAUAUAUCCAUGGUGCCUAUAUGAUGAAAUCUGUGAGUGGAGAAGUGAGUGCAAAGUCGCCCAGCAAAGCCUGGCUCUAAGCGCGACAUCAGCAUCAUCACAUCCGUCUUUAAUGCUGCUAAAGCACUUGUAUGAUUUUGUUACUUGGAUCAUAUAAGCAAACUCAUUGUCAAUCCUGGAAAAUGUGCUGACAGUUCCAUCAAGUUUCCUCAUAACCUUGUCCAGAAGCUACAUAUAUAGAAACUUUGAUUAGAACGAGAAAAACAAAUGUUUCUCAAAAGCAAAUUUUAUGCAGCUUCCAGGUCAUCCACAAACGACCUAGUAUAUACUACAGAAAGAAGAUCUAUAACACACUUUCAUUUCAAAAUAGAACAAGAGAUACACAAGCCUUUGAUCUAAAGGUAAUUGCGAAAACUAACGAGGGAAACUUCAAUGUUUACUGGCUGUUUCUAUAUGCACAUGUCUGGACCAUCAUUAGUGAUACCAGAUUAAAUUGAAUAGAGAAGUCAUUAUGGUUGUGCACACAUCUAUCUUAUUCACUCUGCAUACUGAGAUAGAAUGGUAUAAUUGCAGUUCUAUAAGAGACAGAAGGAGCUAUUCGACGAAGGUUCUACACCUGCAUCAAGUAGCACCAGAUUGCCUACUCAGCUUCAUGCAAGCAAAGAGCCUUAGCAUUGGAGAGAAAAAAGCCAAAAGAAACACUGUAUCCAAAUCUACUGACAUAUAAAAUUAGUAGUAAACGAUACAAACACACAGUACCACAUUCAAUUGGUCAUAUUGUGCAGACUGAGACAAUGCCGCUGAUAUAGCUUUCCUCAGCAUGUCUCCGACACCUUCAACACCAUGCUUCACAGAUAUGUAGAAGGCCUCAGGAGCAUCAGCAAAUGCAAGAAGGGAAGCAAGGGGCUGGGCAUCAUCAUAAGUAUAGGUUGAAACACUACCAGCCAGGCAUGUUUCAUUUAUUUGAUGCACUACAUAGUCAAAAAUGACAAAAAAUAAAUCCCGCUUCUCUUCCCUGGAGUUGGCUCGUGAAUACUGUAAAGGUGGUAGAUAGAUUUCAUUAACAUAUAGAUAAAAGAUGACAUAACCAAGUAUAUCAACCAAGAAACCUCCAAAGAAGUCAGAAAUGCCAAACCACUAUGAUAAGGAAAAUCUGUAAUGUCAUAAUAGAUGGAGGUUCAAAAUGGAACUAACAGCUAGCUACGAACUACCAAGGCAAUCUGUUAUGUCAACCAAUUUUUCAAUUAACGAUUUUUGAUGGCAUGGUCCCAGAAAAUGCUACAGAAGCUAUCAUGGGGGCCAACAUUCAUCGCAUUUUAGUAUUAAUUAAUAAAAAUAAUGACUUCUUUUAAUAAUAUAGCUCAUUUUAGAAGAGACUAUUAACAACUUGUACAUAAUGCCUGGUGUAAUAAAUAUAAUUUAGAAGGCAAGCCAUACUAUUUUUAUAGAAGUACUUCAAUCAGUAUGAAGUAUAAUGAUCGGAGGGUUGAAAAAAGAGCAAAUAUUGUGUUUUGCUGAGUUUCCUACACAUUCAUGAUUAUAAGAAAUGCUUUUAGGUCUUCAAGUGAAGAUGGGUUUCAAAAUGAAUUUCUAUUUCACAAAUUUUCACAUCUAUGAUUAAAAAAGUAGCUAGCCCAAAAAUUGGAUAGUUGUAGGUAGCGCACAGAUCAAGUGCAUAGUUCUCUAAUAACAAUGUUUGAUUUAUUAGUCUUGCCAUAUAUGACAUCCAAUUCUAGCUACGACAGAUCUCCUGCAUAGCAAUAACAUGUCCCUUUGUCAACUUAAAAUAUGAUACAUUUUCCUAUGGUCUUGCUUUUGACUUGUCAAACCAGGGGUAAUAAAAAAACAUUCCAGUCAACAUAUAGAAAGGCCAGAUGCAACUUAAGAGCAAGACCAGACCUCAAGACAAAUAUAGUCAAUUCCGCCAAGGAGAUCUAUCCGCUCAGGAACAAAAUGUGUAUCACGAACACCGUUCUGAGUUACAUCUGAUACAUGGUACAGCAUGUUUGUCAGCAUGCAAAUGAGCUUGCUGUGCACCACUUUUGCCCAUGAGUGCUCCACACUAAUCUCAAGAAGAGUCUUAACCACCUGUUCAGGAUUAAAAAACACACAAGUGAUUUGAAGAACAUUUUCAGCAAUAAAACCAUUCAUAGAAACUAGUAAAGAGUAUAUACGCUACAUUUUAGCCAAAACUGCUGAAGUCAAAUGGCUAACAUGUGUCAAAUACAUUGAGGACCUCAUUACAUACAUGAAGACAUUAGAUGUGCAUUGCAGAGACUACUACAAAAAAUCUUAUAAUGGAAUAGUACUGCGGCCAUAUCUUCCAAACAUGUCAACAACAAUAGCUAUAAGCUCAAAUCCACAGAUUCAACUUUCUCUAUUGUGCUGAUAGUUGGCCAUUUUGAUUUGCCAAUGAUUUUGACUGACACACAGUAAAUAAAAAUUAUAAUGCAUCUUCAAAUCAUAUCGUGUCUAGCAGUGAACGAAAUACAAAAAUGGGUAACUUUGCAGCUACAUGAUCUCCAAUAUUAAACAAACAGCCACCAUCAUUUUGAUAUUUUAGAUAUGGCAGAAACGGGUGAUGGUCAGGACUAAGAGAUGUUGCAUAACAUAACAAAAGUGAAUUUGAAGAAAGUUAGGUUUACCCUUAUGUCCAGACCUCCCAAUCUACUCCUGAUAAUUUUUCCUCCAUCACAAACAAAGUAAAAUAGACAACUCAAAGCUGAGGCCCACACAAUCUCCUGUCGUUCCUCCAUCUAUGGAAGCAAGAAAAAUAAUGAAAAAUAAUCACACAUAUCAGCUUACCAGCAAACAAAAAGGCAGUGCAUGAAAUUGAAUAGCUAAGCAUUAAUAAUUAACUAUAACUAAUCUAAAAAAGCACAAGGGCGAAGUGGAGCAUAAACACGCGCAGAUUAGAGCAUAAACACACGGCCACAUAACAAAAGAUAAAUAAAUUCAUAAAUAUAAAUAUGACCCAGAAAAGAGAAAGAUAACUCUUUCUGAAAACACAAAUAAAAAAAUUACUAGAUUGCUUAAAGCAUUUUCUUGAUAUUAAGAGAGCCCCAAAUAUAGCAACCAAAAUGCAUGCUCAAUAUGAGUGUCCUAGAAAAAAAUACCUGUACUAGGAGAAGGAGAACCUCAAAAAGUAUUUUAAGAAGCCAUGACUCAAACAGAUCAAUAGCAGGACUGAUCUUUGGCUCUUCUUCAGGCUCUGCUGCCCUUGGUUCGUCUAUACUUGAUCCAUAUUCGUUGCUCAGAUAAGAAUGGUUCACAGCUUCACUUUUAUCUAUAAGUGGUGCAUCUUCAACAACCAUAGGUUCCAGUAGGUGUGCAUGUACCCCCAGAUUUAGGAUCAAAUCAAGAGCCUUUGUUCUGGCAGAUGUCUUUUGUGAGCUCAACAUACCCUGAAAAGUUAAUAAUGUGCGAAGUUAAUUGAAAGUAAAUUUUAAAGAAACCCUGAAGAAAUGUAUCCCCUAAAAAAACUUGUACCUCAAGCAUAUAAAGUGUCAGGGGAGCAGCAGUCCCGGAGUCCAUCAUGUACCUGGAUUAUAAAAAUAAAAGAAAAAACCCUGAGAAAGCAUUUACAUUAUAUGAUAGAUAAGAAGGUAUGACAGGCUAGCAACUGUUUCACUACUUGGAUCAUCGACAUGUUCAUAACUACUGAGACAUAAAAAGCAGGACAGCAUAACUGUUGACAGUACUACAUAAAAAAAAACAGAUCCAUGCUAAUAUACGUGAAUACAGAAGAGCAAUAAACAAUUCAAAGAUACGUUCAUGUGAGAAAAUAUUUCACAUCAGAAAAAAAGGUAAAAAUUGAAAACAAUACAGCCUUGGCUGAGCAAACAUAUUCUUAGGUAGAUCAGAGCACGACAUCAGUAGUAAAACUAGUGAAAGAGAAUACAAGACAACAAUGCCAGGAUAGUUAAAAUAUCAGGAACACUAGCAAAGUCUGAUAUUGGAGAAUAAAUAACAAGAAAGAAAUGGGAUAUGGAAUCAUACAUGUCAAUAACAAGUUUGAUAAGGACACUGAAUGCCACAUCUGCUGAAGGUUGCCGACUCUGGGUGCUCAAUCUUGUUUGAGCAAUUGACUGACUUGCAUUUGAAGUUGCUUCAGAACAAACUUCAGCUAUGACUUCAGAAAUUUCAGCAGGAUUCAAUCUUAAGGGUUGCUGCUCACUAGUAAAAGAAGGAAACAUGAUGAGCAAGACAAACACACAAAUACAUGAAGUUGUAAGUAUAUAAAGGAACAAUAUGCUGGUAUAUGAUUCGAAGUGCCUUUGAUAACUAUCAUUUUUUCCCUUGCAUCAAGAAUAUGGGGGAUCAAGGGUCAUAAUGAGUUCAUCUGUAAAUUAACCUAUGUAAGGAAUGCAAUUGACAUGGAUCUGUACAUUUGCAAACAAAUAUAGAUGUUCCGACAAAUAAGGGUGCGCUACCAUACAAGUAAAUAAAUGAAACGGCAAAAUACCUGUAGUGUCUAUACUGAAAAAGGGGACGUGCCCGAGGCUGGAAGGUGUUUGCUGGUAUGUUCAUCCUAAAAAAAAAGGACACAUGAUUACAAAAUAAGUUUAUUUUGACCCUUUUAAAAAAACUAUAAUUAGUAACAAAAAUAUGUAGACAUCUGGUAGCAAGAAUCUAGAUGACAGCAAGUAUCAGCAGCCUUCAGUUUAACAUUCACUUAGAACACUAAGGAUAUGCCAGCUGCCCAGAUACAGAAAAUUGUUUUGGAACAAAUUAAUCUGAUAAAGAUCACAACUAGAAAAAUCUAGGACACUAAUAAUAAGAAAUUUGCCAGUGGGGUAAAGACUACGAUGGAGUGAAAAAAUACUCUAGAAAAGGAAAGGCAAAUGUAAGACGUUAUGCUAAAAAACUCAGAAUAAACUUCACAUAAAAUAGUAAAGAGAAGCAUGAAAGAAAAGAUUAAUAAAUAAAUACUAGGCAUACCAAACUUGAUUUGGGCCUGAUUUCAUGCGUUUUGAGGCAGUUAUUGCUUUUAAAUGGCUUUGCGAUGACGCAAAAGUACUUGGUGCAGAAGUUGAAGGUUGCAGCAAAUCAAUAUCUGGGAAUUCUUGGAUAACACUGUAUUUCCACUGUUGAUCAUUAAUUUUCGCCUCCAUAUCCCCAACUAGAAGAGCUGCAGCACCAACUUCAAGAAAACCAUGUGUAUGAAAAUCUUGAAGACCGACAAAAACACUGCUGGUGGUAAAGGAAAUGAGAAAAAUUGUUAGUGUUGGCAACAAAAACAGAAUGGGGACAAAAAAAAACAACAGGCAGAACAAAUCUACCUUUCCCUGGCAGAAGUUGAUGCCUGCCGUUCGCCAUACACAUGCCAUCGCCAGCUUAAAAUGUCAAAGGAAAUAUAUUUGCUAUCAUCUCCAGGCUCACCCCCAUCAACUUUAUCGCUAGCUGAUGAUAUCAAAUCGGAUGAACUAUGGCAUUCCUUCAAUUCAAGAUGUUCUCUGUUGCUAAUAACUUCUGGAGUUAGCUGAGAAACUAAGGACCUAUUCAAAAAUGAUGAAAGUGAAGGAAGUGCCUGCUUUGAGGCAACUGACUGGACUAUUGGUUGGAAUGACAAUUUUGGAAUAUGUCUUGCAACUAAUGAGCGAACAUAGUUUAAAGACUUCACAAGAGAUGCUGAAGCAAAGUUGGAUAUCGGCGGUGCAAUGGGUGAGGAAUUUGGAGCAGCUGUUGCUGAUACUUGGCCAAAAGAUGCUGCUCUGUUAUUUGCCGUUGGUUCACAUUUUGCAAUCGUAUUUGCACAAAAAAGGUCAAUUUGACGCAGAGUCUGGACCCUUGGAAUAUACCUGAAGACCAAAUGCACAAUAGAGUUAGUGCAAACAAAUUUCGCAAGCUGAAAUGAGUGGCAAGAAACAAUCCAGUUACCGGAUAAGGUAUCUCUUUAACAAUGCCACACAUCUUGGUACAACCGCUGGGCUGGUUCAAAAGAUUGUCCAAAUUAGAAGUGGGAAAAGUCAAUGCCCUAUAAAGAUGCAUAACAAAUCUCAAAGUGAACAGAGUAGGACAAUGAAUGAUGUUAAGUAUUUUUUUAGUUAAAAAAUUACUUAGUUAAUUAAUGUAUGCCUUUGAGGAACAAGAAAUUUGUUUUUUUUUAGACCAAACAAGAGAUUUAUUCUAAAUAAGGACAUUAUGCUGAAAAAAGAACCAAAGUUCUUGUUUUUCGCUUUUGCUUGCAAAGAAAGAAUAUUAACCCAGAAGAAUGAUAACCACAUUAAGAUAUCAAAGCUGAAAGCAUACCUGCGAUCACUUUCUGCAAGUGCAUGGUCAAUGAGGACAUUGUAAGCCAUAUCGAUGGUUGAAGGGUUGGCUAUAUAAUCCUGCCAGCAUAUAAUCACAUCCAUUGAGAAAUGGCAUAAAUACGAAGGAAGUGCUUGAGGUGAUAAAAAAAAAAUAAGAGAAUCCUGCUGCAUUAGAUAACUUCCUUUGCAACCAACUCUGGCAUCAAUAUCAUCAAGAGCAGUAACACGCAAAGCAGAGAAGCUAGGUGUGCUGUACAGUCAUCACUAUCAGUUAUCAAUGAUGGCAGAUAUACCAGGAAAUCAAGAAAACAAAAUACCCACACCAGGACAAAAGCAUAUGUUGCCGUUUCAAAAGAUUCAACAGGACAAAUGGUGCAGGCCAUGCAAUGUUGUCUCUACAUUAUGUUGUCCUACACGUCAGUGAUCCUUUGUUAAUCCUGAGACCAUGACUGCCAGGAUAUAACAAAGAGUCUCAGAAUUCUUGUGAUAAGUUGUGCUGUGAGGCCAUCCAUACUCACAAUUUUGAAGUAAGUUUGCUCUCCUUUUUAACUACUGAGCAUAUGUACAAACUUGUGUGAUUCAAUACACGCAAGCAUUACACGAGGAGCGAAGAGAUGAAGAACAGCUGGCACGCGAUAGUGGGGUUCACAAAAGCAAAUGGCGUGUCGACAAAGCAAGGGUGUUAAAUAUCAAUAAACACCUAAUUCUGGUCCUAGACGUUUGGAGAUAAAUGAAAGCAUGCGGAGUUUGCGCACCCAAGUGGAGCGGAACCUAUGCGUACGAUUUCUCUUUUGUACAUGCGCGUAGUAGAGUAUGGAAAUGUAGCUCGUGCAUACACAUAAUAACGCUGGUAAAUAACUCCCCAGAUACAGCAUGGGAUGGGAUGGGAUGGUUUGGCACUAUGAUGUAAUAUAAUAUAAUGGUUGAGAGCCGAUCCACGUACCCGGAGCGUUCGCGAGGCCUCGGCGGCGGCAGAAGCGGCGGCGGCAGCUGGGCCGUGGGUGUGCGGCGCGGGCGGGGAGAGGCAGUCGGCGACGGCCCUCCGGAGCGGCUCGGGCGGCUUGCGGGCGGAGGCGGUGGAUAUGGAGGCCGAUCGCGGCGGGCGGUGGGGCGGCACCGGCGGGGCGGCGGCGGCGGCGGCGGCGGCAUAGUGGCGCGCGCUGGCGACCCGCUUGGACGGCAGCGGGGCCUCCCGGAGCGGCAUCUGGUGGCGGGCGAGAUCGAGACCAAGGAAACCCUAGCUAGGUCUCCUGGCCGUCGGCAUUCGGUCGAUGUCGCAGCAGUAGCAGCAGCGGCCACCGGCGGCGAGAGGCGAGCCCGGAGAUGGAAAUGGAAUCACAAAUCACAAGUGGAGAGGAAGAUUGCAAGGAUUUUGGAUUGGAUUUUGCUCCACAGUUUCCUUGAUUGAAUUUAAUUUUAUUUUUGGGAAGGAGAAGGAACAAGGAAGGGAAGAGGAUGCUCUUCUCCGAUGCUCAUCACGUUGCCACCAGUCUGUCCUCUUCUUUCUCACAUGGGCCUAGCCCGGCCCGAGGACAUGCAUGAUUUGGGCCGCAGAAUGCAGAUGGGCCGGGCCGUGAGAUUGUCCAUGUUGUUGGAUGAUGGACUGGACGCGGAAAUCCUAUACAUCUUCAGGUAUGUUUGAGAUUCGUGCUUUCUUUUUGGAACAUUGGAUUCAACCACCUUUCCCUCCACCGAUCAGAGCAUGCAUCCACCAGAAAGGAAGAAGGUGAAAUUAUUUUUCCUUUAUGCAGAGACCAGAAGAUUGGAUCUACCUAUAAGAGGAAUGCUUUGUAUAAAUAAGUCACUUCUUGGUCUUCAACCCCCAAAGUUACUACAAGCGCCCUCCCCCCAUCAGUGCAAUGGGAUGUGGCUAUUUAUCAAUCUCUUGACUUGAAAUAGGAACAGAGCAUGUUUGAAUUCAAAGGAUCUUAGAGUGUCUAGGGUUGGGCCAGGAGGAUCUCUUAACCUCUUCCUUUUUCUGCGCAUCAGAGUUAUUUCCUAAGGACUUACCAUGGUAGGGGGGAAGAAGCACACUUAAAGAGAGCAGUACAACAAGGAGUUGCAUGCUGCAUUCGGGAAGGAUGAAUCACUCCCGAAAAGGAGUCUAUUGAUUCUCUCCCAAUUGGUUUGAUCGUAGGGGCGAUGAUUUACUUCACGGGCGAGGUCUCUGGUUCAAGUCUAGGAUGGCCCAGCUGCACUAGGGAAAAGAAUAGAAGAAUCAUCUGACUCUUUCAUACAUACUCCGCUUGGCUCGGGGGGGGGGAUAUAGCUCAGUUGGUAGAGCUCUGCUCUUGCAAUUGGGUCGUUGCGAUUACGGGUUGGUUGUCUAAUUGUCCAGGCGGUAAUGAUAAUAUCUUGUACCUGAACAGGACGCUCACUUAUUCUAAGUAAUGGGGAAGAGGACCAAAACAUGCCACUUAAAGACUCUAUUGAGACAAAAGGAUGGGUUGUCAAAAAGGUAGAGGAGGUAGGAAUUGGUCAGAUCUAGUAUGGAACAUAUAUGGAUGAUAGUUGGAGUCGGUGGCUCUUCUAGGCUUCCCUCAUCUGGGAUCCCUAGGGAAGAGGAUCAAGUUGGCCCUUGCAAAUAGCUUGAUGCACUAUCUCUUUUCAACCUUUUGAGUGAAAUAUGGCAAAAGGAAGAAAAAUUCAUGGACCGACGACAUUGUCUCCACCCCGUAGGAACUACGAGAUCACCCCAAGGACACCUUCGGCGUCCAGGGAUCAUGGACCGACCAUAGACCAUAUUCAAUAAGUGGAACACAUUAGCCAUCUGCUCUCUAGUUGGGCAGUAAGGGUCAGAGAAGUACAAUCACUCGUUCUUAAAACCAGCAUUCUUAAGUUAAGAUCAAAGAGUUGGGUGAAAAAAGGGGAGAGCUCCCUGUUCUUGGUUCUCUUGUAGCUAGAUUUUCCGAAACCACAAGAAUCCUUAGAAUGGGAUUCCAACUCAGCAAUUUUGUUUUGAUAUUUUGAGAAGAGUUGCUCCUUGGAUAGCACGGUACGAUGAAAAUUGUAGCUGCGUUAGGGGGAGUUAUUGCCUAUUUUAUGUCCUCUAUUGUAGACUCUUUUUCGAAUCAAAAAACCACUAUGUUAUUAAGAAAUGCAACCCAAUAAUCCAAUAUGAAUAUAUUUUACUAUUUUUUAAAAAUUUAAUAUUUUAGACGAACUACCCUCAACAUUUUGAAUAAACUAGCUCACCAUUUUUUGAACUAUCUACUACAGGGAAGAUAGAGCCCCUGACUAGACGUGUAACCGGAACAAAAGCAUAUGGCAAAAUUGACCCCUCCAAAAACAGCAGGAAACUAUUUGGUAGCUUCCGAUGUUUGAGAUUCGUGCCGUUAUUGUGGGCCACACGAUCUCCUUCAGCUCCUCCCUCCCUGGCUCGCUCGCUCGUGCCGGCGAGGAACCUGGGUUGAAGGAGUGGGAGCUAGGCCCCAGAGCGCCGCCGGCAGUGGUUGGCGGUAGUGGUCAGCGGCAGGGGCAACGAGGAACACAUUAGGAAGGGCAGGGAGGAAGGGUGGUGGCCGUCGGUGGGCGAGCAGCACGACGGCUGCCGGCCGGGGUGGUGGAGGCUAGGGGUAGGGGUGGUGGCGCAUUGGGGAAGAUGAACAGGAGAAUGGACCUUCGCGGGCUUCUAUCUUGCUUCCACAAGGCAGAUAAGAGCCCAAAAGCAGACCCCAUCAAUUCCAUGGGAAGAAUUCUAUACAAGUCUUCUAAUAUUUUAACAGGUCUCAAGUACAAGUCUGGAUUCUGACCGCAUUUAACUCAACAAAUAUCAAUCCAUGCCAAAACUCUAAGACAUGCCUGUUCGCUUCAGUUUAUUCAGCCGGCUUAUCAGCCACCAAACAGUGUUUUCCUCUCACAACAAAUCAGCCGUUUCAGCUUUUCAGUCGGCUUAUAAGCUGAAGCGAACAGGCCUGCCAUCCAGUCAAUCUUCCUUGUAGGGUUCAUCAAGAACCGCAUUGUAGCAUGUCGGGUUGCAGGGAUAUUCGCAAUCUAUUUCCUUUACCUCCCUCCGAUCAAAGAACCAAUCUCCCACCGCUUCAGCUGCCGUCU
rnacentral:lncRNA from 1 species